rnacentral:lncRNA from 1 species
UUUUUAAGAGUAAAACAAAUCCAUUUUGCAACUCAAACUGGAGUAACUUGAUAAACAAGAGCACGACUAAGAGCAAGUAGUAGCAACUAUAGUAUCAAUCUCAGUUCUGUCAAUCGUCAAGCUCGGCAGAAAAGUCUUUCAUCAUAGAACAAGGCUAUGCGUAGCUAGGCCGCAUAUUCCUUACUUUAUGAAGAAAUUCUUAGCAUUACUCCUCUUUUGUGCUCCCGCCUUCCUAGCCUUAUGGUUACUUUUCCUUCUUUACUUGCUUGCAUGGACAUACUCUCUUGCCCAGAAUGACUGGAAUGAGAACAAGGGACUGAGACUGGGCUUGCCCUACCGCGACUACAACCAAAUUAUGGUGAAAGAGCUAGUCUUGACUUUUUUGGGUUCACUAGAAAUGCCAUCAUUACCCUUUGGUCGUAGAUAGCCCAUCUCUCGAAACUAAACCUAAUCUGGUAGGAGAUGCUUCCUUAUGUCGUGAGAUAAGAGAUGCAGGCGAAUACAUGUGCUCUUUCCAACCUACGAAAUUCUAGUGAUUGUUCGCCCUUUUGUUUUGUUUUGGUCUUUUUCUGUUCUUUUGUCGGAAGGAAGGGUGUUAACGCACCUUGCAAUCUUUCUAAAGCAAUAGUGAGAAACUUGGCUUUACUUUAAUAAAAAGGAAGGGCCUUAUAUUAGAAAUAAGAAUAUUAAUUAGUAAAGGCGCGUUAGCCUAUCUAAAGGCCUUUUCUUACUCUUGUUCGCCCUCUACCCGAUUAGUUUAGUUAUAAAAGAACUCAAGUUUCGCCUUUUGACAACCUUACUAAUAGAAAAGAAAGAGGAAAGAUAAAGAUGCGCUUAAGCAUGCGAAGAAAGCUCGAAGAGCUUCUCUUAUAUUAUAGAAAGGUUUGUAGAAAAAAGGCUUCUUCAAAUAUCCCAUAAAAUAAAAAUAAAAUAGAAAUAUAUAAAUAAAGUAGAGGCUUCAAGGCUUAUAGUUUAGGGGUGGGACAGGAAGGCCCAACUUAUACAAGGGGCUAGCGUGAAAUGGCUUUCUCUGAUAGGGGCUCGCUUAUUCAAGCGGAGCUUGCUGCUUUUCAUUUUGAGCUCGUUAAAGCCGUAGCUUGUUGCUCACUUGCUGUCUACUAAACGAGCCUUUACUGUCCGCUCAGGGCCUCUAUCUUUAAUCUUAAGUAAAGUGAAGUCAAAUCAAUAAAGUUAACAGCCCAACCUCUUAGUUUGAAGCUUUUCCAAAAAGAUUCUACUUGUUUUUUAUUUUGAAGCUUUUCUUCCCCAAAACACAACAACAGACUUGCAAUACAACUAUAGUAUAGGAAAAAACUGCUCUUUGAUAUCGAUAACGGGGGGUUCAGAAAGGAUCUUAUCGUAGAUAGAGACUGAAACCUGUGUGGGGGUAAGGGCAGAUGUAGCCAAGUGGAUCAAGGCAAUGGAUUUUGAAUCCACCACGCACAGGUUCAAUCCCCGUCAUUUGCCCAUCCAAAAAUAAAUGGACCAUUUGUUAUGGAGACACAAGACAAACCCUUCUUUUAUCUUCAAGUCAAGUUGUAGGCUUUCAAACAAACGCAUCCAAAUAUAAAAACCGUUGUCUACGUGAUGAAAGCAGAAAUGGAAUGGCUGAUCAUUCAUUGUAUGAAUUUUUUAAGACCUCACUAAUCAGCCUUACACUUUUUAGUUCAUAAUUAAUGAAAUGAACCUUUGGAUGAAGCAACUACCAUUUACCUCUCCCUUUUACUAAACUAUGGGGAGCCCCGAGUAGUUUACCGGGCUAAUUUAGUUGUCGUGACGAUACCUUUCUUAGUGGAAGAUCAGAAAAGACUUCUCUUUAUCACGAGAUAGAUCGGAUCUGCCGUAGACACCCGAGAGGCCUCCACAAGGCAGGCUAAAAGAGUAAGAGGACAACAAGCAAAGAGUUAUGCUUUAAUUUCUUUGUUGAGAUUGAAAUCAAGUUAUUUAAAAAGGGGUAGAGGGUCGUUAGACCGCGGGCCAAGUCAAGAAAAUUACUGACUUUCUUUUCUAGUAGUCUUAAUGACUAAUAGUUUGAAGCCUUAACUUUUUUUUUUCAACACUCGGUUCCUUCGCCUUAAGUCAAGUUCAGUUUACUUUUUCGAUUCAAAACUCUUAGUCGAGUUGAUGGCGAGAUCGAUUUUUUAUUCGAGGUUCAAGAGAAAAGAAAAAAGAGGAAUCACCUAACGAACCUGAAUUACAUGUUUGAGAAGGACCCUUAGAACCCAUAUUUUCUUCAUUUGGUGGCAUGAGCCCGCCACCCUCUCGAUUGAGAUCUAUUCCCCUCUUUGACUGGAAAUGCUUCAUUGACUGAUCCACUAAUCUACGACCACCCUUACCUCUCUUGUUAGGCGUGCUAUUAAUAACUGAGAUAUCCACUAACCUAUUAACUAAACUAGACUGCUUUUAGGAAGGAUUCCUGGACUAGACUAACUAACCUAAAGUAAGGAAGGCAAGGACAAACAUGAACAAGAAUAUGUUUGACUAAAGAAAGUCUAAUUCCGAAACAAAAGCGAGAUUAAUUGAUCCUUGCCCCGCCUACCCUGUUAUCAUAAUCAAAGUGGAAACAUGCAACAAAUUUAAAGCUAGGUCCUCCUUACAUUAAUAUUAAUAUAAAGUAAAGAUGAAAUGAAGUCAAAGUUCCUCGAUUUUCUAUUUUUAUGAAAGGAAAUCUUAAAAGUUAGUUAUAUCUAGCCGUGUUGGUGAAAGCCCUAAGUGCAGGUCAGGUUCCGGUUCUUGUGGAAGAGAAAGUUCCUAUCCUAUCUAUUCAAUUCUAUUAUGGCCGGCUUGGAGACAUCAAAGAAAGACCAUUAUCUCUAUCCAGGUACGAUCAUAGCUUCAUUUAUUCGUUGAACCUUAGGGAUUUAGCAUUGAGGUCAAUCACCACACGAACCUUAGGGAUUUAGCAUUGAGGUCAAUCAUCACACCACCUUUAUCAUACAUACAACAUUACAUGAUGCAUAAGUUUAAUAUGGAUACCACCAACCUUCUUUCAAAAGGGGAUUGUGCCGCAUCUUUUUGAAUAUGGAAAUGACUCAUAAAGUUGUUGAUGAAUUCAAGAGCCUCGGACCUUAUGACACAGUCAGGUUCAACAAAGGGGAAAUUCGAGAAUAUUUGAGUGAGUCGAUCAGUUGGCUCACUCAUUAACAAAUUCAUUAAUCCCUCUAAGAGAUUGGCCUUUAAUUCGAAAACUGUAAUGUCAAAGAGCUCAUUGUUUAGGACAUUACAGUAGUCUCGAACGCUGACUAUGUCUUUUAGAAAACCUCUGACUAAGGCUUCGUACUCUCCUAAAUUUAAUUGUGGCGGCAAGCCUUCAAUCAAACAGUUUUCUAGAAGUCGUAUCGGUGCAAAAAGUUCCAAUUCCGUCUCCUAAUUGAGGAGAUGAAAUUAAUCGAGAAUGGGCAAAGGGAUUCCUCUAUUACCAUUAUGGAAGGGGGCGACAUUAGGAAUAUGAUGGAAAGGGGCCGGGGCAGCCUCCACAUUAGGAAUAUGAUGGAAAAGGGCCGGGGCAGCCUCCACAUUAGGAAUAUGAUGGAAAGGGGCCGAGGCAGGCUCCACAUUAAGAAUAGGAUGGAAAGGCCCCGGCCCUAGAAGCGAAUUCAAAUAAGCGCUUGAGGCAUAGUUCACAUCCUCAGAGAUUGAGAAAAAAUUCAUAACACUGAUGCCAAGCCCUAAAAGGUAAUUACAAAAAAGAAAAUAAAAAUAAGGAAAAGUAAGUCUAACCAAUGGUUUAGUUAAGAAGAUGAUGAAAUGGAAAUGAAAAGUUUUCAUUUUGGUUUUUUUUACUUUGUUUACGCCUAUUGUUCUUCGUUCUUCAUUUUUCCCUUUUUAGAGCACUCACUAACCACUGCACUGACUGAGUUACUUACAGAAUCUCAAAUCUCACUGCACUGACCAUAUUAGCUCGCAUCCAAUGCAUUCUUUUUUAUACUGUAAGGUAUACUGAACACAAAUUGAAUCUUGAUGAAAUUGAAGGAAAGUUUCUAACAAACAGAUUUAUUGCUUGAUCUCACAUUUACCUUUCAUUUUCCUUGCACUAACAGUCUUCUUCUGUUAUGCAAUUUCGUAAGUGAUCUCAUUGAGGAAAUUGAGUAAGUGAUCAAAGAACACUUUCCUUAUUUGAUUUGUCUUCUGCCUCAACUAUGCCUUAAAAUGUCUUUGAUUGGCCUAUAAAAGACCUUCUCCAUACUAAGUAGUGUGAUGUGAUACUAUUGAGCUCAAAAAGUGGAUAUUGAUCGAGCUUGGAAAAGAGAAAUACCGUUUAUUGAUCAGAUAGAUUUUCUAGGAUGAGCAGAAGUACGGGGCGCUUAAGGCUCGAGUCUAGGUGGGCUAGCUCUUGAUAUGUUUUCUCCGGUACUAGCUCGGAUUGUAGAUGAUUGUAGACAAUGAGGAAUGAUUAAAGCUAUAAUGGUGGGAAUGUAGACAAUAAGGAGUGAUUCUCUUUCCCUCGUGUUUAUAACACCUAUGAGACAGAGGAAUCCACGCCGGUAGAAGUAAAAUUAUCGGGCACUCACUUUUCAUUGAGAAUGUGACCAAAGAUGAGGUUCCACCGGGGCAUUGAAGGAUGAGGACGGGGGCGCUGAUUCCUUAACUCGUCCGAGGGCAUAAAUUAUAGACAUUGAAGAAGUAGCUCGGCUGGGAACACUAAAUAAAUCAUAAAUCAUAAAGAAAUCCACCUAUUAGUGGAUCUACAAGGGGAUCCGCCAGUGGAAGGACUGAAGACUAAGUCAAUAUUUAGCAAAAAAGAAUCAAUAUAAAUGAUGAGAUUCAAUGCUCUUCUCUUUCUUAAGAUGCCAUAAAAGAAGCAAGUCAAGAUCGAGUUGGGCAAUCUUAUGGUUAGCCUGAGUCUCCUAUGAUACUGAAAAGUUUGUCCCGUCUCAGGUUAAGCCACGGCAAGAAAGCAAUCCUCAAGAAGAGAGGGGUUCAGUCUCAUUUGAUCCAUUGGCCUACUUCGAUUUCGAUUUACUUGGCCCAACUUCAGCGGAUGUUGUACUUGGAUUCGAGGUUAGGUUAUUGGUUACUAUCAAUUUGGACAUGGUCGGAUAGGAUCUUGCAAGCGAAACUCUAAAUUCUGAUGAAACUCGAAAUUCUGAUUGAAAGGUUCUAUUAUGGAUUCCUAUGGGUUCCACGAGUGAGUCUGACCAGUUCCACUCGCGAUUGCACCGACUCAAGACUAGUUGCAAUAGAUAUUAUGACGGGGUGAUGGGUCGUGCACUUGCAAGCUCCACUCUUGAUUUUGAGGAGGGCAAAUGCAGAUGAUUUUGGUUAUUCAUAUGAGGCUAAAGAAUCAAAACCGUGCCCAACAAGAUUGAAUCUAGGCCUUGGGCUCACAUGGGCGAUCCAUUCCAAAUGUAGUGAAAGGAUCAAAUCCAAAGAAAGGUUUUGAAGGCAUAAGUACAUAGAUCACUACGCGCUAAGCCAAUUCCAUUUGAAGCCUUACCUGGCAACCAUAGGAAGAUGGAUCUCUCCAAACAAAGAGGUAAGCUAUCCACAAGCAAAGACGAGGAUAAAACAAAACACCCGAAUUAGAUUAUGUCAUUCUUUCUAUUUUUAAUAGUCUCAUAUUCAAUAGUUUUUUCUUCGGCAGAAUCUAACUCUUCUUUUCACUUUGAUAGGGAGUCCCGCUGUAACAUCGGCAAAGGACUUUCUCUUAACGAUGUCAAGACAUCGAUUCUCAUUAUCUACUAAGAGUCAAUUCCUAUUCUCAAGCAGAGGUCUCUCGUACUCAGUAAGGAGGGUACGCUGUGAACUCAACAAAAAAAGGUUGUUUACUCUCACUCCUAAAAGCAUACCUCGCCUUCGGCAAGCACUGCAAUUUACCAAAUAUUGUCUCUGAAUCAAUACGUUUAGAGCGCUGCUUCUUCUCCCUUCUCUAGACCGUACCUGAGACUUCAAUGAACCCGAAGAGGUAUGCUAAUGAAUUCAUUAAUGUUUGGUUGCAUGAGCCCCUGCCCCAACCGCUUAAAUGCUCCACAAAGGUGGCCCAACCUUUCCCACAUCUGCUUGUCACCCAAACCCUCAGGGAUAUAAGAAUCCAUUGAGGGAGGAACAGAUGACAAGGCGACGUAAUGACAUCAAACAACAGAAAGAAGGGUUGGAAGAUUGAUGAAUAAACCGCUUCCUCCCUUCUAUCAAACAAUCAAACCCUGGGUGCUUCACCCCAACCAUGAAUUUCUUAACGUUUCUUUCUUUCACUUGAUUUUCUUCCUUCUGGCCAACCCCUCAUAUCAGAUUUGCUUCUCUUCUAGUGGAGGGUUAUAGUUUUCUUAGUUUUCAUUGGCGGAUAAUCAUGCUUGAGAAAGAUUGUCCCUCUCAUCUAAGGAUGCAUAAUCAUUUACUUACCUACCUGCCAUUGAGAAUUUUCUCCUGAAAGUGGGGGUUCUGAGAAAAGCAGUGGCUAGUACAGUUUCAAAAGUGGGCUAAAUAUCUUAGUCAUCGGGCGGGGAAGAUGCAACAACAAAAUUGGAUUCUUUAAUAAACCGAUCAAGAUUUCUUUUCUAUACUUAAUUUAUAUAUAUAGUAUAGGUGACCAAUGGGUAAAUGACUAGCUUCACUUCUGGAAUGAGAUUUCGCCACCCGGUCAGAGAUAGAUGAAAAAAAACAUCCAUCUGGUACUCAGAUGGAUGGUCCAACCGACAAGCCGGAAUGGAUGGAUUUUCUUUUAUAUACUUUAUAUAUGCAUAUGCGCAGCUUAGAAAAAUGAACCCAAUUUGGGCGUAGAGACUUCCCUUUCGUGAUAACCAUAUGUCAGAAGCGCCCAGAUAGUGAUAGCUCAGCUUUUGAAUUGGAGCAAUUGGAAAAAAUGAAUUGGAUUGUUUGCGGCGUGUAAUGCCUCCAAUUGUGUCAUGAUCAAAGUGAUUUGCUUUUGUUCCUGAAACUAUUGAGCUAUUUGAUCGAACCGUAAGUGAGUAGAGUAGGCACGCCCUAUCCUAUCAUCUGUAUAAUCAAACAUGAAAAAAUAUGAAUUGCUCUUCUUAUUUCAAAAUCUAGAAUUGGGUUAUUUCUUAGUUAUAGUCCCUGGGACAUCCCAACUGGAAGGCUUCUAGAGACUAAAUUACUAUACUAUAAGUAGAUUAUAGAUCUACUAAUUCGAACUGGUUAGUGGAGAAGAAUAACCCAAGAGGGAGUAUUAAGGUAAGUAAGGUAAGCGGCUUCAAGAAGAAGAUUAGAAACGCUUGCAUGAAUGCUCUAUUUUAGUAGAUCCAAAAUCUUUCCCUUUUCUUUUAUGUGACCACUUCCUUGGACGAUCAAGUACAAAAUUGAAAGGAAAAGGUCGGUAGUUUCAUUGGUCUAAGAUCUGGCCUCGAUAAAGGGGCAGAAGCAUCAAUGGCUUAAGGUGGAAGCAUCAAUGGCUUGAGGUGGAAGCUUGGCCUAGUUCCAAUCCCGUUUGAUGGGUAGUCACUUGAAAUCCUUUUGAAUCUCUUUCAAAUAGCCUUUAAUUAAGUACUAGCCUGGGUCGAAGGUGGAGAUGGGGACUCAAUCAGUAAAAUCAUACUGGAAUCGAACUAGAAAUUACAAAAAGAAAAAGAAGAGGCCUCGUGGCUCCAAAGAAGAAGUUUACCGGUUCGAAUGAAAAGUUGUAAGAAGCCCUAAUGGAGAUGCCCAAAAUCCUGCUAAGAGAAUUGCUAGUUUUAGGUCCUUGAGGUCUUCUCUUGGAGAUGCUAACUUGAGUUUCUCUGGGUGCCUCUCAAUGAGUUUAGCCUUUUUUAGGGCUUUCUGCACUCCGAUGCCUAUGAGAAAAGUGGCAAAAGUCUUUAAAUCUUGAGGUUGCAACUCUUGCGAUAGCCCCUGGAAUGGCAAAUUUCGAAGAAUUCAUGUAUGAAUCUACGGCUUCAACGCCUGUGAUAAAGUACACCGCGUCGAUGGGGAUUUAUGGUCAAGACGAUAACGCGCUUUUCGUCCCCUUUCAAGGUUUCCUUGCUCGACCAUGGGAGAGUAGAAAUCUCAAUGCAUAUCGUUUUCGCCUGAAGAUUAUAGACUGAAUGGGUAAUUUGAGGAUAAUGUCAAGGCAUAUGUUCGUGUCAUGCCCAAUAGCUCAUCACGAGCAAGGCUGGCAAACGAAUGAAGUUAGCCGGUAAACGGAUAAGCAAAGCUUAACGCUUAUACAAUCGAUCUUGCUAAAUACAUCCCUGGCUAGAGCAUAGUGGGGAAGCCCUAAAAGUGUAGGUUUCACACAGAGGAACGAGUUCUCAACUCGACUAAAAGAAAAGGCUAAAGAAAAGAGUUGUCCGAGAAAGCCAAUGAAGAAUGAAGUUGGCAGAUAGGACAACACCGAGCUUUACACACCCCCUGUUCGUGGGACAAUAGGGACAGAGCGGGAGAAAGGUUUCGAUAUGACUGUUUUUCCACGCUUAAGGCCGGUUUCGAACCUUCACACAUUACGUUGUACCUCAGGGACGGGGACUGUAAGAAGGGUUUUAAACGACUUAUUUCGAUCACUGGGGGCUUCCUUACCUCAUAGGACUUCGAUAGCUUUCAUUGGGCCUUGCAAGGGGGAGAAAGAGAGUCAGAGUAGUGAAGAAGGAUAAAACACUUUUGUUGGUUAUUGACCAACAGAAAGCAUGGGAAUCUUUAGGCUCCGAAGAGCAUGAUUUUCAAUCUCGGACUCUACCAAUCGAUAGGUACACUGUUACACCAACCCAAUCUCAAUGAUGAAAAGAAAGCUACAAGCAACUACAUAAAAACCUCUCUAAAAUAUGCGAACGGGCGCUUUCUCAUUAGACAUUAGAGUGAUAUAACCUAAAGCUUUUUUUGAUUUUUUUAUGUUUACUCAACUCGUAAAGGCAAAGUUUAUAUGGAUUCACCUCAAAUCAAAAUGAUUUCUCCUUUCUUUUCGGAGCUACGAGAUUUCUUCUCUUAUAAGAUUUCUAAUUUGAUCGAGGGUUCUCCCCAAUAUGAGAUAGGUUGCAGCUAUAAUCAGAACUUCAACUAGGCCAAUUGCCUAAUUCUUACCUGAGUUUAGUGAACGAUACAGCAGAGAUACCGUAGGGUAAAGCCCAUAAGAUACGAAGCGAGAUGGGGCUGAAGUCCUUAGUAUGUCUGUCUUGCUUGCCUUAAACCAUAAAACGCUUAGCAAACUCGCAAGCUCCACGAUGAGAUACGAGGGACUUCUCAUAAAUAAAUGGUCAUUUCACAUUCAUUCCGCCAUGAUUUCUAGGUAGGACUGGGCUACAACCGAAUCAGCGAUAACAAUAUCAUUGCCUAAGAUCGUACAAUCCCAUAAACCUUUCCCAGGAUAAAGCCCUUUCGCGACAAGUGUUGUGCAAAUUUUAUUGAACUCGCAAGCGCAUGAAUCUAUUGUAGAAUAGAUCAAUGGUGACGAGUGUCGAUCCCACGAGGAGGUGGAUUUUGAUUGUGUGUAGAAUUAAUUUUUCUAAAUGGGUGGUUGGGUUUAUGGUAAAGAUAAUUUGGAAUAUCCUAAAAUUUAAAUUGAAAUGACAGAAUUAAAUUAAAGUGAAAAUUAUUAUAAUUGAAGCACUUGGGUAUCUGGAUCCACAUCAACAUGCACCAUGAACUAAAUAUUUCUUAUUAAUGCCAAUUAAAUCGUGAGAGGGGAUUCCACUUCUCAUGAACCACACUCUAAUCAAUAUGGUGCUAAGGGCUUAUCGUGCCAAAUAAUAAUAACCUUGUACUAGGGAGCCAGUGAAACCAGGACGGUAUCUAGACAAGAUUAUUAUUAUUUGUCGACGAAAAGUCAAAACAUCCACAAAAAUUAGAGGGGAAGAGAAAAUAAAUUUACCAAAUAAAGCCCAUGACACAUGUUGAGACUUCACCUUCAACCCAAGCUUGAAAGAAAAUUAGCUACUCAUAAUUGAACUAGGGGCAAAUUGGAAUUUAUUAAAGGGAUAUUAUCAUUUUCCCACCAAAGGUAUUCUGACACAUCAUGUCAGUACCACGGUUUGGUAAAACCAUCAAUUUAUCACCAAACAUUUAAACUGUUAGCAUUUUCCCACCAUUCCAUUAAAACUCAGUUAAUAUGUAACAGAAAAUUUAUAAAAGGUCAAUUUUACCCCUAGAGCGUAAAAGACCAUGUAAUUAAUCUUUUAUGAAUUUUGUAAUUAAACUAUCAUUUGCUGUUCUUCCUUCUUAAAGGACAAAAAUUACCCUUUAUGAAUUUUGUAAAAUUGACCGUGUGGUGCUAGGUACUUCAUAAAUUGAUUUAAUUUUUAAAGGGCAAUUUUAUUUAUUAAAUUGACGAGCUAAAGAUAAUUUAUUCUGCUACUAAAAAUCAAUUUAUGAAAGGGAAAAAAAAUGUGCAAAAGAAGCAAUUUAAUCUUUGAUAUGAUGAUAAUAAUUUUACACAAAAAAUUAAAUAAAUAAAUUUUCCCUUUAAAAAUUAAAUAAAUUAAAUCAGUUUAUGAAGUACCUAGCACCACACGGUCAAUUUUACAAAAUUCAUAAAGGGUAAUUUUUGCUCUUUAAGAAGGAAAAACAGCAAAUGAUGAUUUAAUUAUAAAAUUCAUAAAAGGUUAAUUACAUGGUCUUUUACACUCCAGGGGUAAAAUUGACCUUUUAUGAAUUUUUCGUUACAUAUUAACUGAGUUUUAACGGAAUGGUGGGAAAAUGCUAACAGUUUAAACAUUUGGCGGUAAAUUGAUGGUUUUACCAAACCGUGGUACUGACAUGAUGUGUCAGAAUACCUUUGGUGGGAAAAUGAUAAUAUCUAUUUAUUAAAAUACAUAGAAAAUACAAGAUGGAGAAGGAAUUACAGAAAAUUGAACUCAAAAAUGAAUUCAGGGAUGCCAAAUUAGAAUUUUAGUCUAACAAAAUCGUGACACUUCAUCAGUCAAUGCCACAUCAUCGAUCCAUAUUUGUGAACAGUAACAUGAACAGUACCGUACAUGUGAAUAGUACCGUACAUUUGAACAAUGCCAUUUUUCCUUUUAUGCUCCUCCUAAGGUUUUCGAUUGUCCUGAGUUCAAAAUUGAUGUCUGUUUUGCUGUCUGAUCUCUCGUUCAUUGUGAAAUGACCAUGAUGCCCUUAAAAUACUUAAUUAAAAUAAAAUACACAUAAUUAAAUUACAAGAAGUUUAAAUACAUAAAAGUAAGGAUGUUAGUAAGACUUGAAAUGUAAAAUGACGAUUUUCUCAUUUAUAAAUAUACACUUUCUAACACUCAACAGCAAGCCACACGACCAUAUGAUAGGUCAACAAGCCACAAAGUGUAGUAACCAUCAGCUGACCUUUGUCAAGCGAAACAUGAAGGCGCGCGUCUCUUUUCUCGUCGGAUCCGGGGACCGAAAACCGGGACCACACAUGAUGUGUGUCUAGUUCUCGACCAACUCCCGACCGAACAUGCUAAACAACACCCCUGCGCUCAUACUUACAGGCAAAAAGUCAGUAGCAGCUUUAAGAAAGAUCGAAGGAAAAUCGAUUUCUCUCGUAAUCUAGCAAGGGGGGGCCGCUUGAUUGAAAGUCCCAUCUAUCGAAAUUGGAAGACGGCGUAGAAUUUCCAUCACCCAAUCGUGUAAAGGCCGAACCAAGGCCUGAUACAACAGGUUGGCAAUGGCAAACACCUUCUUCUUCCCACAACCCUCGAGCUUGACUCAAAAGCUACCAAUCUAUUCUUUGGAUGAGUAACCAUGGAGUUCCACCACACAGACUGAGCGGAAGACGCAAGACUUUCAAUUAUAUGACCUAAUCCGUAAUGACCAGUCGGCAAAGGCUUGACGGGCACAUUGGGACUCCCUUCGCACGAACUAAACCCUACCUAUUUGAGCAAUCAUCUCCGGCUUCACUAAGGUUAGAAUCACCGACACAUCUAUUCCGAGAGUAUGAAAUAAAUAGAGUAAGACGACGAUGUCUUAGCGACCGAUCUACUCCCACAGCUACCUUAAAGAAUUCGUCGUAAGUAUUCAGACCGAAAGACCAGGACAGGACGGGCGAUACCAACGAUCAGGGAAUCCGGGCAUACUCAGGUAGGUAGGCUAAGGGCACUUCUGAAGCAAACACCAUCAUCUUCUCAACUCAUCACAUCGUACCCUUGCUUGGUUCAUAAUUGGCUAUGUGGAAGGUCUCUUCAGGGGCACGCGUCCCCUACACCUAAAUCCAUUUUUAUAAUCCGCAUAGUGACAAGUAGAACCAAGGAUAUGGCUUUCCGAUGUGAGAGAACCAUCUAGAGCUCUUUCUUCGAAAAAGUAAUAUAGUAAAUACAAACUAUUGCCCAGUCGUGGAAGGCUUUGAUCCUUUUGUUCCAGUUGUCAGUGAUAAACGAAAUAGAUUCUUCAUUCCCUAUUGAGUCCACAGAGUUGUCACUAAUGAAGAAAUAACAUGCGCUCAAAGGGCAAGCUUCUCUAUAAGAAUGAUGAAUAUGUGAUUCAUGUUCAUUUGUAAAGGAGGAAGUCACUUAAACAAGUUGCCAAACUCAUGCCAAUAAGGUACACGCUACGCCUAAUGAGUUUCAUUGUUACAAGGUCUCUCCCCGGCCCCUUUUCGUUGACUAAGUUGGCUUAAUUUGAAUUCUUUGAGAUAGAGAGAGCCCUGAAUUCCCACUGUUAUUAAAAAGAGUCAGCUUCACGUUUGGCAUAUGCCCGCUCUGACCGGGAUCUUCAGUAUUUUAUUUCAAUCUAUCAACCAUAUCCCGCCCCUCUCUAUUACCUGAGAGUGAUAUAUUCGUCUUCGGAUGUGUAAGAUGGAUGUGACCCGAGGAGGUACUACUUAAUGACGUGUCGUUCCACAUUAAGUUCCUCUUGUUUACAGUUGAGCACUUUUUUCCUAUAUAAAUAGUCAUUAUCUGUUCUUCGACAAUGAGAGGGGCUGAUUGAGGCUUAUGCCUUUCCUUAGCCACUUCUGGUCAAAAGUAUGUCGUGAAUGAUUUGAUUCUUCCUGGAACGACUUAUGGACAUACCUUUCUCAGAACCCUUACCAUCGCAGGUUCUCUCGCACACUUAGAGAUGAGAAAAACCUUGAUCCGAGAGGUGGGGUUUUGUGUACUCUAUAACCACGACCUAGUGAUUAGUAGGAGAGAAAUCCGUAUAUAUAAACAGUAAAGCUGUGGGUUCAAGCUUAGGCAGUAAGAAUCUUGUUCAACACAACGAACAACACUGGGAUGUGACAGAUCGCUCGGAAGAGACUAAACUUGGAUGAAUAGUUAGCCAGAACAAUUUAGUUGGAUCCGGCCCUACAGCCCUACCUGAUAGACACCACACCACUAUCAAGUGUCCUACACACGAAAGAAGAUUACUACACCACCUAUCAUACGACAGAGGAAGGUCAAAGUAAAGAAGGGAGGCAUUGAUCGCCAAGAGGCAAACUCGUUUAUUACAGCCGGAUCGAGGGUGUUACAGCUCGGGUACAACCAAUCGAGGGGCUUGAAUGACAUAUGGUACGGGCAAGACAUCCAACUGGGCAGGUCUUUUAUUCUCGAAGCAUCUAAAGCCUCGUUUUCUUCCAUUCCAACUCUCCUCGUUGUGGGUAUAGCAGGACUUGAACCUACGCCCAAUGAGCCUGCGCGGCCGGUAGCCGUUGGCUACGAACCAUAUGAAGAAUAAAACAUUGAACUUUCGAGAACAAAAAAACUAUGUUAAAAGAAAAUGAGUACUCUUUCACCUUUAUAUAUUAAGCUUUAGCUCAUAAGCCUGGGCUAGGGUGGUAACGAAUGGAUCAUACUCAAGCUGAGGUUGAGCAAAUCGUUGGUAGAUUGAUAUGAUAUCAAAAGGGGCUCCCACUCUCAGAAUUGAAUAAAAAAUAGUAACUUGUGCUCAAAGAGGUGUCACGAUGACAUUGUUCCUGUUGAAAUUUAAAACUAAGCAUGGGCCUUGCGCAUGGGGAAUCGGCUUAAUGCAGCGCUUCCCAGGAGGUAGAUUGAUAUUGAGGUGCAAUUCCAAAAAAAUAAAUGGUGGCCCACCCUAUACGUGAUAGGCGUGAACCUCAAGUUAGUCUUGUAUUCAAAUUGGUAGUUCAAGGAUUCACUGGUUCCCUUGGCCUGACUAAUCUCCCCAAAAAGAAUCAAGGAUAAUAGACAAGAAAAGAGUAUAACAAAGACUCUAGUCCGUAAUCGGGUCAAUCAGUCCUUUCUCAAGGGUUUCCGAGAUUGUUAGAAGAAAAGCCCCUCUUCAACGGGUAGGCUUGUUAAGCAUGUCGAGUUUCAGUCAGUUUCGUUGUUGAAACCACUUUAUGUAGGCUCCAGUCAGUUUUCGUUGAAUCUGGGUGAGUCUAUGGACCCGUGGCUACAGGUCUACUCUUCGUAGAUCACCUGAGAGAGACAACCCUUGGGUUGCCGUGUGAACACCCUUCCUUACCAGUUGGAUGAUAAGAUUAUGGAAAGGUUCACCAAGCCCGAGAUCUUCGAUCUUUUGUUUAUGUCUAAAAGCGGAUACGAAGACAGUUUCCUUUACUACCAUGCUUUCCGUGGUCAUGCUCAAUCUUUUUCUAAGCUUUUCCGUCACUGUCACUGCAAAAGGUCUUUUGUAUUGAUGGUUAUUUGUGGGGCUAGGAAAGAAAAGAGAAAAUAGGGCGAUUAGUAUGACCCUACAAGGAAUUCUUUAAUUUCAGUUUAGUGAGAAGAAGAAGGGGUGGUCGUAGAUCAGAGCUUUAUUGAAGAAAUGGCUUGGCUUUGCUUCUUUUGUUGGCUGCUAGAGAGGAGAGAUUAUUGAGGAGGGGGCCGGUUUCGAAAAAAAAAAGAAAGUUUACUGAAAUGCAGAGUAUGGUAUAUGAGUCAGAGGAAUGAAGUUUUCUUUUCCUCUCGAAGAAGUUGCUUUUUUCAGUAGUUUGCCACGGGUCAUUUGCCAGAGAUGGAUAAGCUUUCUCGAUUGAAUCAUUCCCGGACAGAAUGAAUGGGGAAAAGCGAAGACGCAUGAUGAACUUACUCUCGGCUAAGGCUCGUACUUCUAGUGGCACCACCCAAUGUAUAAAACAGAAAGAAGUCGCUCUCUUCUUCUACUGCACCACUAAAAAGAAAAAUAUAAGAUAUAUUCUAAAUUUCAUAUCCGGAAAGAGAGGAGUUGAAGGCCUCAACUGAUAGGGAGAGCAGUGUUAAGUGUUAGAAAAUGUAUAUUUAUAAAGGAGAAAAUUCUCAUUUUAUACUUCAAGUUUUACUAACAUUUCUACUUUUAUGUAUUUAAGUCUCUUGUAAUUUAAUUAUGUGUAUUUUAUUUUAAUUAAGUAUUUUAUGUAUUUUAGGGGCAUCAUGGUCAUUUCACAAUGAACGAGAGAUCAGACAGCAAAACGGACAUCACUUUUGAACUCAGGAAAGUCGAAAACCUUAGGAGGAGCAUAAAAGGAAAAAUAUCACUGUUCACAUGUACGGUACUAUUCACAUGUACGGUAUUGUCCAUGUUACUGUUCACGACAUUGUUCACAUAUAUGGAACGAUGACGUGGCAUUGACCAAUGAUGUGGCAUUGGCUGAUGAAGUGUCACGAUUCUAUUGGAUAAAAUUCUUAUGCACUGUUGAUUGGUGACGGGGCAGCAUGUUAGUGGAUCAAAAAUCGUGCGUACGGUACAUGCAUAUACACAAGAUUAUUUUCAACCAAACCACGUCACUAUUCAAACCGCGUCACUAUUCAAACCGCGUGGUCAAACCGUGUCACUGUUUAAACCGCGUGGUCAAACCGCGUACUGUUGACUGAUGACGUGGUGCAAUCCUGAGCGUCCAAAAUGUUUUUAAUCUGAUGGCCAUGAUUUACUCAGUGUAUCUAUAAAACGGGGGCUCUCCCCCCUAAUUUGGCAUCCCUGAAUUCAUUUUUUAGUUCAAGUUUCUGUAAUUCCUUCUCCAUCUUGUAUUUUCUACGUAUUUUAAUAAAUUCCCAUUUUGCCCCUAGUUCAAUUAUGAGUAGCUAAUUUUCUUUCAAGCUUGGGUUGAAGGUGAAGUCUCAACAUGUGCCAUGGGCUUUGGUAAAUUUAUUUUCUCUUCCCUUUUAAUUAUUGUGGAUCUUUUGACUUUUCGUCGAUAAAUAAUAAUAAUCUUGUCUAGAUACCGCCCUAGUUUCACCAGCUCCCUAGUACAAGGUUAUUAUUAUUUGGCAAGAUAAGCCCUUAGCACCAUAUUGAUUAGAGUGUGGUUCAUGAGGUGCGGAUUCCCCCCUCAUAAUUUAAUUGGCACUAAUAAGGAAUAUUUACUCCAUGGUGCAUGUUGAUGUAGAUCCAGAUACCCAAGUGCUUCAUUUCAAUAGAUUUCGCUUUAAUUCAUUCCCGCCAUUUUAAUUCAAAUUUUACGAUAAUCUAAGUUACUUUCACCACAAAUCCAACCAUCCUCAUAGAAAAUUAAUUCUACAUAUAAUUAAAAUCCACCUCCUCGUGGGAUCGAUACUCAUCACCAUUGAUCUAUUCUACAAUAGAUUCGUGCGCUUGCAAGUUCAAUAAAAUUUGCACAACAAGCAGUGACAGCUCCCUUACUUGAUUGGUAGGACAGAACUGGCUGGAACUACUAGCUCAACUACCUUCUUAAUGGACGCUGUCGUUAACGAUUUUAUCAUGCUAUCUAUAUGUGUUGAUCCGUUAAAUGAAAGUAAGGAUAGCAUGUUGGUUUAUUCAUACAAGCAGCUUCGCAAGGUAGUUAGUUUAUUCAUCAAACAGGCAUGAUUCAACUGCUGCAAACUAGUUAGUUUGUUCAUCAAAUUCAAAUGGACAAAAUGUUAUUUGCGGACUCGCCUCAGGAUGGAGAGGAAGCUACUAUGGAAGAAAAUAAGGCAGUUGUUGAACAAGUUGAAGUUCAAUAUGAAUAUGCAUCAUCAACUGGAGAAUAUGAAGAUGGCAAAGAUUUAGAAGAUUAAUACGAAGAUUUUGAAUAUGAUUAAAACGAUUAUGUUGAGUUACAGCACGGAUUGAAAUUGUUCUUUUACAGUUCCUCCACCGAACUGUAGUAUAUAUGGAAUAGCUGUGACACGGAUCGGUCGCCAAGCCUGCCUAUCUCUCUUCUUGUUGCGCGUUGUUACUCUACAGAACUAGCAUAGCUCGCCGACGAGCAUGCUAAUGAGGCUCGGAAUAAAAAAGCCCUUGGUUGGGUUGGGGAGGGGAGGAAAUCUAUACACACUUUUCCACCUGGUGAGAAAGAACUCCAGGUGAUCCAUUAGUGAGUACGAUCGCUUUGUUUGGCGUGGCUUAACAAGGUUUGAAUUUAUCAGCAAAUCAGUUAUCACAGUCUAAUUAGAAAUAAUCGUUUGCAAGGCAUGGGCUAUCUAAUAGGGCAUCAUAAUCUCGUCUACUAAUAUAAACUUCUUUUUCUCAUUUCGUAAAAUCUCGUCUACUAAUAUAAACUAAUAUAAUAAGUGUAUAUUCCAACAUGGAAACGAAGACUUUCGAGAAAAAAUAUUGGACUAAGAAGAAAAAAAAGGGAAAAAAAAAGUAAAGUCUAAGCGCAUAUGGCACGCAAAGGAAAUCUUAUUUCGUUAAGAAUGUAUCUCAAUCGUUGUUCAGAUCCAAGUUGGUUUAGUGAUUAUUAUUAUAGUCAAUUAGUGUAUCAAGAUGUCAAUCUGAGAUCUUAUUUUGGUUCGAUACGUCCACCUAUGAGACUCACCUUUGGCUUUCGUCUUGGUAGGUGUAUUAUUCUACAUUUUCCCAAAACAACAUUCAUUCGUUUCUUUCUUCCUUGUCGACUGAAACAACACAAAAAAACCAGACCCAGAAAGGAGAAAGGUCGGUGGUGGACAUUCGGGAAAGUCAGGCCGAUUGGGUGUCUUCAGUCAAGCGACGACACAGAAGAAGAACGAAAUGAAGUAAAAGGCUGGGGGGCAAGGAAAAGAGUCGAGUAGAUCAAGCUCAACGACCGGAAGAAGCAAAACGAAAUCAGGAUUUGGCCCAAAAAAAAGCAACGAUAUGGAUACAAUGACUGACCACUAUCGAUAAAGAAGAAUCUUUCUAAAUUACUUUGGGUCAGCGGGCCUUCAAGUAUCCGAAAUACGCCAAGGUUGUAAAUGACAUAGCGACAUAGCGUUCCUGAUAGAAAAUGACAACUUCUUUAAAAAAACAAAGUUAUUCAAGUUCUUUUUUCUAAAGAAAUCCCACUUCGACGGCCUGACGAGUCAUCUACUUAAAAGGACCCUCCCCACAGUGCUCCCCUCCUUGAAUUAUUCGGUCAUGCAAUACUUAUUGAAUACAAAGAACAAAAUCAAUUUCGACCCCAUCGUAGUUCUCAAUCAUUUCGUGAACGCAGGCAUGGAUGAACCAUCCACGAUGGGGGGAGCGAAUGUAUAGGGAAGGCGCUUAGAUAAGAGAUUAUGUUCUCGCAUUGCAUUUUUUUGUAGAAAGCUUGACUAGUAAGAAAAAGUGUUUGGCCGAAUCCAAAAAUAGGUUGACCCGCUUCAUUUGCCAAGCGAAUGAUCUUCGCUUCGCGAGAACAACAAAAACCACCAUCUCACUCUUUCCUUUCUUCGGUGCUACCUUUUUCUUUCUAAGAGAUGGGAUUGGGGUGUAUAAUAACCUUUUUUUUUUAGGAUGCCCGGGAAUAACUCCUAGGUCAAUUAAAGAUCAAAUGUUGGAACCUCAUGGGUAAAGAUAAGGUAAUGGAAUUGAUAGAAAAAUUCAUAAACCUAGGUGGGAUAGGAGAAUUGAUAAAGGGAAUAGAGAUGAUGAUUGAGAUCAUACUGAGAAAUAGAAGAAUUUUGUACGGGUACAACUCUUAUUUAAACAAAGUUAAAAAAAUGGGAUAUUUGUUGUUGUUUGAGGGAAAAAUAAGAAAGGCAGUAAAGCGCCACGUGUCGACCAAUGGAAUGAUUCCAGCACAAUCUGAGGUACCCCGUACAAUCCGAGGUACCCCGUACAAUCCGAGGUGCCCGGCGUGAUUUGAGGUACCCCAUACAAAUAGAGGUACCCUGCACAAUUAGAGGUACCCCACACAAAUAGAGGUACCCCACACAAAUAGGGGUACCCCGCAUAAUAAGAGGUACCCCACGUAACUCGAGGUACCCGGCAGAACGUAUGCAAGAGAAUCCUCCAAAAAUAUCCGCCAUGAGAAACGUCUCCGCCUUCUAAAAGAUAUUAUUCGAUUUUGUUAGAAUUAGGAAUAAAAAACGAUGUGCUAAAAGGAGGGACAGCCGCCUGCCACCUCUGCCAAAAUGAAGGACACUGUCCCAAGGACAGUGGUCCCCAGCUGCCUACCCGACAGCUACUGCAGAGGUACCUUGGACCACUCUCCAUCGUGCGCCACGUUCCCAAAGGAUGAGAUAUGCCGCGAACAUGCACAUAACGGCCUAAAAAUCAUAAAAAAGGUAAAAUGACGUUAGCCAAAAAGGGUACGCCACGUGGCGGCUGAGGUACUCCAUAUAUAAAGGCGCCUAGGUUUCAUUCUCCAUCAUGUUCUCACUCACUAUUAAUACUCACACUCCAAAAAAUAGGUUUUCUUCAACCUUAAACCCUAAUUUACAGAAGGCUAGCUAGCUCUCUUUGCCAUAAAAACUUGAGUUUGCUAACUUGAGCGUCGGAGUGUGAACGCCGGGGUAUCUCGGCUUCACCUCUAACCUCUAUUUCACUGUUUUGCAGGCAUGAAGCUCAUUUUGAAGGACACCUCUCUUGUUUCUAACCUUCCACCAUUGUUACCACUCUCUCUCCCCUUCUCACCUCCCCCGAAUUUUAGAUACACCGCACCGCACACAACAAACCAGUGAGGUACCCCGUCUACCCCAAAAAUAUAAAUUCAUUGUUUUAGAUUAUUUUGGCUUUUCCUGUCCCAAAAUCUAUCGAAAACAAUUGGCGCCUUCUGUGGGAAAUCGCACAAAAAGCCUCCACCGCGGUUGCCAAACUAGUUGUUGUGUGUACUCCAAUACAUGGCACCCGACGCACCUCCCGAAGGUUUAAUGGCGGAUCCUACAAGGAUGAGAGGUGAUAGCAGUAGUGAAGGUAGUGAUCCCGCAAGAAGGGUAGCCCGCAUCAAUAAGGGCAAGGGUAUCAAGCAAUCAACGGGUGUUCGCAAAGAAGAGGAACCUAUUUCUCACAAGCGUUUCGAGGAUCUUACCCACGCAAUACUUAGGGCGGUUGGAUCUCGGGCACCCGAAAGUUCACUUCCACUAGUGACGCUAGAUGCUCCACCACCUCAAACGGACGACCAAGUUAUGGUCAGAAGAGGGGUACCCGAGGCCAGCAAGCCAAAGUAUAGGCCGUCGGGUACCCGUUCUAAGUUUCAAACCAUGGGCUCCCGAGACGGGCGUUCCACCGCCUCUUGCAAUUCCCACAGCAGCCAGGGUACGAGGCGUGCAAAGCGUACCCAUGAGGAUCUCCAUGAGAAGUUAAACGCCAAAAGGGCUUCUCAAAUGGCAGAAACAUCAUCGGGUACCCCGAGGGUACCCCUCGAACUUGUGGAAAAAAUGGAGAACCUGGAAGCCCAAGUGAAGCUCCUCUCCGAGAAGCAAAACAUCACAGCUGCUCCAACCCCAAUGACCUACCAAUCGCCAUUCACUAUGGAGAUUCGGAAGGCAGCUCUCCCUAAGGCGUUCGUCAUACCUCAGAUACCCCAAUACUCGGGUACCAUUGAUCCCUCGGAGCAUGCUGAGCUAUACCGCGACCAAAUACUUAUCAAGGGUGUAGAUGAGAGUGCCAUGUGUAGAAUGUUUACACACACACUCACGGGCCCCGCGAAGUCAUGGUUUCGCUCUUUGAAAGCGGGUAUUAUAUCUUCCCUACACCAAUUGUUAUCCGAAUUUACUAAAGAGAUUUCCUACGCUUCCACUCAAGAUAGGGUAGCCUCCAAACUUGUCUUUAUCAAGCAAGGGGAAGCCGAGCCUUUGGCGGAGUAUGUGAGUCGGUUCCACCAAGAGGUGCUGCGAACCGGAGCAUUUGAAAACCAAUACACAUUGACCCAUUUUGAGAAAAAUUUACGGCUGGGCAAGUUAUGGCGUUCUUUUCAAAAGAAGCACCCACUUUCAUAUGGGGAAGCCCGUUCCCGGCCAUUGCAGCAGGUGGAGAUGGACGAGAAAUGUCAUUUGAAGCGCCAAGAAGAUAAGGCCGAUGUUAUAAAGAACAAGGAGAAGCCCAAGAGGGUGGAGGCCCCAAUACCGCGGGUACCCCGAGCACGGAGCCCUCCACGGGCUACCCUGCGGGGACGAGGGUAUAACGCCCAGGGUACCUCAAGGGUACCCCAACUUCCAAGAUCGCCGCCACCGAAUCAGCGAGAGCUACCACCGAGGCCUCGGUACGAAUCUUACCAUCCACUGAAUCGAUCUCCAGAGCAGAUCUUCUACUAUAUUCGGGAUAGCAGCCUCCUCUGUCCUCCUAAGCCAAUGAAGAAGUACCCCAACAUAAAGCGUAGCCUGAAGUAUUGUGAGUUCCAUGAGGACUUCGGUCACAGCACAGCCGAGUGUUUCACCUUGCGAGAGGAAAUUGAAUCUUUGAUUCUUAGCGGGUACCUCAAAGAAUUUGUUGCUGGCAUGAGAGAAGCUCGGAAAUCCGCAGAACAAGAUAAGGGCAAGCGGGUAGCUGAUGGCAGUCCUGAAUGAGAGGUACCCCCUGGACAUAAGAAAGGCGUGUAUAUCCGGAUGAUAAUGGGCGGACCGACUUUAGUGGGCCAAUCUAGGAGGGCUAUCAAAGGCUAUGGUAGAUCGUUGUCGAUAACCACCAAUAUUGGCAGAGAAAUUAACCUUAAUGAAUGGGGUACACCGAAGGUACCCCACCAUCCCCCGCCUAUCUUUUUUACAGAAAAAGAUACGGAGGGUAUCUCUUACCCCCAUGACGAUGCUUUAGUAAUUACGUUGAAGGUUGCCACCGGUAAGGUAGCAAGAACUCUUGUAGAUACCGGCAGCUCCGUUGACAUCAUUUUCAAAAGUGCCUUGGAUCAACUAUUGAUUAAGUCGCCAAAGAUCACCCCCUAUGUUACGCCUCUUAUUGGGUUCGCCGGAGAUAUGGUUAUACCAAAGGGCAUCAUUACGCUGCCCGUUACACUUGGUAAGGUUCCUCACCGUGUUGUUCAUAUGAUUGAUUUUCUUAUUGUAGAUCACCCGGGUGCCUACAAUAUUAUAUUGGGUAGGCCGUUCUUAGUAGCAACUAAAGCGGUGGUAUCUAUGCACUACCUCGCCAUGAAAGUCCCGGCCGCCCAAGAAGUUAUCACCAUUAAAGGGGACCAGCAAUUGGCUCGUGGAUGUUACUUUGUGGCCUCCAAAGUCACUUACCAAAUAGCUUCCGAUCCGCCAAUGAAGGGGUACCCUAGUGGCAGCCAGCCCACACCUUAUCCCUCAAAGCAAGCACUUGCUAGACAGCGGAGAGUGGUAUACAAAAAAUCUCCUCAAGUAGCCCACCCACGAAAACAGUUGGAAUCCUCACCAAUGGGCGUAGUAGCAGUUGCAGGGGAUAGCUCGAGGGUACCCCACGAGGACCAGGUGGAGCCCAGAUAUGAAGUUGAGGCACCUUUGGAUCCCCAAAUAUUGAAAGAUGAAAAGCGGGGUACCCCAGUUGAAGACCUUAUUUCAGUCUCAAUUUGUGCCACCGACCCAACAAAGACCGUGAAAGUAGGCUCCAAUCUUUCGGAGGAACAAAUAGAGAGGCUCAUCACCUUCCUACGCGAGCACCACGACGUAUUCGCCUUGUCCCAUUUGGAUAUGCCGGGUAUCCCACCUUCCCUCUCUUGUCACAAACUCAAUGUCAGCCCACAUAAUAAACCGGUCAAACAGAAGCGCCACGCCUUCAACCAAGAGAGGUACGAUGCAAUUGAACAAGAGGUAGAUCACCUAUUAGCAGCGAGAUUUAUCCGGAAAGUAGUGUACCCCGAUUGGGUAUCCAACGUUGUUCUAGUCAAGAAAUCAAACGGAAAGUGGCGUAUGUGUGUGGACUUCACCGAUUUGAACCAGUCCUGCCCCAAGGAUAGCUUCGCGCUUCCCCGGGUGGACCAGCUGGUUGAUGCAACAGCGGGGCAUGAGAUGCUUAGUUUUAUGGACGCCUUCUCCGGUUACAACUAAAUUCCAAUGUAUGAACCCGAUCAAGAGAAAAUGGCAUUCAUCACCAACCGUGGGUUAUACUGUUAUAAGGUUAUGCCGUUUGGUUUGAAGAAUGCCGGGGCUACCUAUCAGCGGCUAGUGAACAAAAUUUUCAAGGAACAAAUCGGGCGCACCAAGGAGGUGUACAUAGACGACAUGAUCACCAAAUCGGUGCAUGUGGGGGAACACCUAGGGCACCUCAGAGAUACCUUCACCGUUUUGAGGAGACACCAGAUGCGGCUCAACCCUGAAAAAUGUGCGUUCAGGGUUACCUCGGGAAAGUUUCUCGGGUCCAUGGUACAACAACGGGGGAUUGAAGCCAACCCCGAUAAAAUUUGCGCGGUUCUUGACAUAAAAUUGCCACGCACCAUCAAGGAGGUUCAACGCUUGGCAAGCCGGGUAGCUGCCCUGAGCCGCUUUAUCUCCAAGGCUAUAGACCGGUGUAAGCCUUUUUUCAAAGGUUUGAAGACCGGUAGGAAGCUCCAAUGGACACCCGAUUGCGAAGAAGCCUUCCAAGAACUGAAGGGGUACCUCGUGAAUGCUCCACUACUUGCCAAACCUGAGCUGGGAGAGGUGCUUCUGUUGUAUCUCGCCGUAUCUGAGCAUGCCACCAGCUUCGUGUUACUCCGAGAGGAUGAUAAUGGGGUACAACGACCUAUUUACUACACUAGUAAGGCUAUGGUUGAUGCCGAAAAGAGGUACCUCACCUCUGAAAAGAUCGUUUUGGCAUUGGUUGUCUCCGCACGGAAGCUCAGACCAUAUUUUCAAGCUCACACCAUUGCAGUCGUCACCAACCUUCCCCUCCGGUAAAUCCUCCAGAAGUUAGACAUGUCCGGAAGGCUUCUCCGAUAGUUCCUUGAAUUAAGCGAGUUUGACAUCAUCUUCAAGCCUCGUUCGGCGAUUAAAGCCCAAGCCAUUGCUGAUGUCAUUGUGGAAUUUUCCAAUGACUCAAGUGGUGAAGGUGAUCUGAGGUACCUGUCAGAUACCCCAUCCACCAAUGAAGGGGGACAGGUCUGGGAAAUAUAUGUAGAUGGUUCCUCUAACUCACACUGAAGUGGUGUGGGAGUUAUUAUAAUCGACCCGAACAAGGUGAAAAUAUGGUACGCUUUGCAAUUUGGAUUCAAGGCUUCAAACAACGAAGCCGAAUACGAGGCCAUCAUAGCAGGGUUGAGGAUGUUGAAGGCUUUGGGAGCAAAGAGGGUACAUGUUAAGAGCGACUCCCAGUUGGUGGUAAGCCAAAUUACCGCACAAUAUCAAGCAAAAGAGGAAAACAUGAAGGGGUACCUCGAAAAAACCAGAGAGUUGAUGUCCCAAUUUUGUGAGGUUAAGGUGAAAAGGGUACCCCGACUGAAGAACAGUGAAGCCGACACCCUGGCAAACCAGUGAGGUACCCCGUCUCCCCCAAAAAUACAAAUUCAUUAUUCUAGAUUAUUUUGGCUUUUCCUGUCCCAAAAUCUAUUGAAAACAAUUGUGUAAUAGAACAAACACUAAUACCUUAAUUGAGUCAGUAAAGAUCAAAUCUGAUUACCAAAGUGCUUCCCCGAUUGUUCAAGACAUCUCUUUUCAACUGAGGAACAAAACAAGAUCAUUUCGUUCCAUUUUUAGUAAAAUAGUGAAGGAUAUUCCAUUAGUAAUGAAUAAAGGGGUUGAGGGGAUUCGCAUAUGUUGUUUAGGUCGAUUAGAAGGCACAUAAAUCGCUAGAACUGAAUGUAGAAAGUAUGGAAAAACUUCUUGUAAUGUAUUUCACCAUAAAAUCGAUUAUGCUCCAGAGGAAGUAUCUAGUCGUUACGGAAUCUCAGGUGUCAAAGUGUGGAUUUCAUAUAGUAAAAAAAAAGAGUACGUGAUAUAUCUGAAACAUACGAAAUAUAGUAAAUAUCAUAAAGGCAGAUGUAGUAGGGACGAUACAUAACUUGGUUUUGGAAGAUAUGGCGCUAAAAGUUAUAAAGCUGGUCGUCUUUCAUAUCGAGCCAUUGAAGCAACGCGUCGGGCUAUAAUCGGACAAUUCCAUCGUGCUAUGAGCGAACAAUUCCAAAGAAAUGGUAAGAUAUGGGUAAGAGUUCUCGCGGAUCUCCCUAUUACCAAGAAACCUACAGAAGUAAGAAUGGGAAGAGGAAAAGGAAAUCCUACGGGUUGGAUUGCUCGUGUGUCCGCAGGACAAAUCCUGUUUGAAAUGGAUGAUGUGAGUUUGUCAAAUGCUCGACAAGCCGCUACAUUAGCAGUGCAUAAACCAUGUUCGUCAACCAAGUUUGUUCAGUGGUUGUAACAUAAUUGGUUAGUGGGGAAAACCCCAGCCGAUAAAAAUGAGGCGAAGUGCUUGUUCCUGAACGACAGAAGUCGAAGUAGAAAGACACUAAGGGGGGAGCUAGAUGAUAACAAAGAUAAGACAAGAAAAAGACCGAAAGGAGAUAGAGAAAAAUAUGAAAUUCCCUGUACUAAAAUACGAAAUAGCCUUAUUCGUGAGUUGAAAAAGCAAACUAAGGAGAGUUUCAUUUCCCAUACCAACCAUACCAUCAUCGGUGGCGCUGUGCCAUCCAGCAUGCCCGUAAAAUGACUCCUAAAGAUUGGGGUAAAAUGCUGACCCCCCGCAGAGGUAGGAUGGCUUUUCGCGCCAACCGAACUGCGUCACCAAAUCGAUUUUUCUAGAUGGAAGAGAGGCAAAUAUCAAUCCAAUCUGCCUAUGGCCAAUUCAAAUCUGGCAAGUUGCACAUUCAUUGAUGGGAGAAUCCCCAUUUACUUGGUGAUAACUCUAGGAAAUGAGAGUUAUUACAUCAAUUAUAGACUUGAAUAAAAAGCAUUUAGAGAACAAAUAAGGUGUUUUUUUAUUACAGUUUGAUUACAUUUUGCCUAAACUUUCAUUUUAGUUGAGUAUUAAUAAGUUUUGCUUGAAUCAUAGUAAUUUGUGCUAAAAACAUAUGCAUAAUUGUAGGUUCUCGGAAAGUCUUAAUUCAUGAGGGGAUGUUGAGACAUUAGAGGAGCAAGAGGAGGAAAGAAGACGGCUAUAAAAGAACAGAAGCACAAUCGAGAGAAAUGCAGUGUUGUUGCGGAUGUUAAAGCAACCCAUGUUGUAGCAAUCUGGCAGUAAAUACGGGAGAAAACUUAGGCGCGGGUUAGUGCAUGUUUCCUAAUUUAACAUAUGCACGCUCAUGGGCUUAUGUUUACCCUAACUUGCAAUAUAAAAGGGAAGCGUGCAUCACAUAGGAAGGCGGCAAGGAAAUUAUCAUUAGAAUAAUUACAAGGAACGAAGAAGAAGAAGAUUGGAAUUGAAGAGUGUUGUCUCGGCAACAUUGGAAAAUCGUGCAGAAUUAAUUGGAUUUGUCUUCACCGUGCUCAAUUUAUAUUUAUCUUCUUCCUUUAAUUGUUUUGAUGUAUUCCGAGAUUCAAAUAUUUAUGUUUAUUUUUCUCAUUCAGAAUAUGAACUAAAUUUACUUGCAGUUGAGUGACAAAUAAUCCGAUGGGUUCUUGACUAUUCUUAUAUGUUGUUACGGUGUUGCUGUAGCAUUUUACUCUAGUAGAUUUUUAUGAUUAUAACUGUUAUUUCGGUUGACCACCCAUUUAAUAGAUUCAGUUAAGAUAGAGCAGCAAAAGGGCAUGUCUUAGCGGAUAUUAUUAGAGUACUACUUGAUCUUAAGUCGAGUUUCCUGGAUUAAGUUAUCUUAAAUCUCAUAGGGGCAGUACUUGAAGUAAAGAUUUGUGACACACUAGAAAUAGGUGUUCACCUUGUAGGGUGGAGAGAUUAAAGGUUAUAAUGUCGUACCAUAAAUAUAUUAGCAACUAGUCAUUGUUGCUAAUAUUAGAUUUAAAGGUAUGAGACUUCCAACAUGCGAUAGCUGAGGAUGCAGAUUUAUUCUAUCCAGUGCUGCAGCACUUAUCGUAACAACGGGCACUAACUUGAUAAACAAUAGUCAUCCCAUUAGGAGAGUUUGAUUAUUCAACUGCUAUAAUCUCAAUUGAAUCUUAGACAUAUUUACCCUAGUUUAUUUCAUUACAGUAUUGUUUUAUUUCCAUCUCUCGCAAUUAUUAAUUACGAUAGAAUUAUUUGACAAUUGUUUGUUUCGGUCUUUAGUUGAUUUGCGCUAUAGUGAUUGCGUUAGCAUUUUGAGUAACAUCAAUCCCUGUGGAGACGAUCUUGAAUUCUCAUUACUUUAUUACUGGUUGUGUAAACUUGAACAUUGGCAUUGAUAAUAAUUUAUUAUAAAAAUCAACCAACAAGUUUUUGGGGCCGUUGUCGGGGAUUGAUUGUUUAUUUUUGAAGUGUGAAGUAAAUCUAGAUAGCGCCAAAUUUGAUUUGAUUUAUUCUAUUUAUUGGCAAAUCGGUACAUGCAUGCGUAAAGACAGAUCUGUGGUGUUCCAAUUCGAUCAUGAGAUUAAAAGGACUGUCAGGAGACUGCGAAGAGAACAAAGGAAUUCAAAAACUAUUUCAAGCAUGAAUAAUUUGCAAGAUGCAGGGAAUUUGAAUCCUCACGGGCCCUUACAACCAGUCAACAUUCAGGAAGAGCAGAAUGAACAUGCUAACGGGAGACAGCCAGGCAAUAAAAAUAUUAUUUACAUGGCUGAUGACAGAGACAGAGUUAUAAGAGAUUAUGUUGUGCUAACUCCUCAAGUAGUACAUCCUGGCAUUAUCAGACCUGAAGUAGAAGCUGCAAAUUUUGAGUUGAAGCCAGUGAUGUUUCAGAUGUUGCAAACAGUUGGUUAAUUCAAUGGAUUGCCGAAUGAAGAUCCUCAUCUCCAUCUUAAAUUAUUCUUGGAAGUAAGUGAUGCUUUCAAGAUUGCUGGAGCAAUACAAGAUGCCUUAAAGCUGAGGCUCUUCCCUUAUUCCUUAAAAGAUCGAGUAAGAGCAUGGUUGAAUUCAUUACCAUAUGAUUCCAUCACUACAUGGAAUGAAUUGGUUGAUAAAUUCCUAAUGAAAUAUUUCCCACCAACAAAAAAUGCAAAGUUGCGGAAUGAGAUCACUUCCUUCCAUCAACUUGAAGAUGAGAGUUUGUACGAGGCUUGGGAAAGAUUCAAAGAAUUGCUCAGAAGGUGUCCUCAUCAUGGUAUACCUUGUUACAUUCAAUUGGAAACUUUUUACAAUGGGUUGAACCUAAGUACAAGGUUAAUGGUGGAUGCUUCAGCAAAUGGAGCUCUGUUAUCCAAAUCUUACACUGAAGCUUAUGAAAUUCUGGAAAGAAUUGCCAAUAAUAAUUACCAGUGGCCUUCAGCCAGGCAACCAGCAGCAAGAGGAUCAGCAGAGGUACAUAACAUUGAUGUAAUUACAGCCUUAUCAGCACAAGUAACCUUAUUGACUAACACGGUAAAGGCCAUGACAUCUGCUCCAACAAUGGUAAAGCAAGUUGCUGAACUUUCUUGUGUAUACUGUGGUGAAGAACAUGACUUUGAUAAUUAUCCUGGAAAUCCAGUUUCAGUAAACUAUGUGGGUAAUUUCAAUCGACAACCUCAAAACAACCCAUAUUCGAAUACUUACAACCCUGGCUGGAAGCAACACCCAAAUUUUACGUGGAGCAGUCAGAAUCAAACUGCUCCAGCAUUAAAUGGACAAAAUAGAAACACACAACCACCAAGUUUUCAUCAACAAAGUCAAGGGCAAAAGCAUAACAGUCAGGAUCCAAUCACUUCACUAGAAGCACUGAUUAAAGAGUACAUUGCAAAGAAUAAAGCAAUUGUGCAGAGUCAAGUUGUAUCCGUGAGAAACUUGGAAAACCAAAUGGGACAACUAGCCACAGCAAUGAGCAGCAGAACUCAAGGAAGUCUACCUAGCAACACAGAAGACCCUAGGAGGGAGGGCAAAGAACACUACAAAGUAAUUAAUUUGAGGUCUAGAAAGAAUGUUGAUAUCCUAGUUGAUGUAACCAAAAAUGGGAUGGAAUUCAAUUCAGCACAAAAACUACCUAAAAAUUGAAGCAUGUUACAACAACUUCCCCUUCAAAACACUGGGUACAUGGGCCAAGCUACAACAACUACAGGGGGAAUUCAACCAGAACAUGCUGAAAAAGAAGUUGCAACACCAGUAGUCACAACCUGCACCAAACCAAACAAACAGAGUGUGAUAUCUCCUAAAGCUAACCAGCAGUUUAGACAUCCACCACCUUUCCCACAAAGGUUCCAGAAGCAUAAACAAGACAAACAGUUCAGCAAAUUCCUAGAAGUGCUAAAGCAAUUGCACAUCAAUAUACAUUUUGUGGAAGCUUUGGAACAAAUGCCAAAUUAUGUGAAAUUUCUAAAAGAUAUAUUGGCACGAAAAAGAAGGCUGAGAGAGUUUGAAACUGUUGCUUUAACACAGGAGAGCAGUCAUAUGCUCCAAAGUAAAAUUCCCACAAAAGUGAAAGAUCCAGGGAGUUUUACAAUACCAUGCUCUAUAUGAACUAGGUAUGCUGGCAGAGCACUUUGUGACUUGGGAGCUAGUAUUAAUUUAAUGCCAUUAUUUGUAUUUAAGCAGCUGGGAGUAGGGGAGUGCAGACCAACAACAGUCACUCUGCAAUUAGCUGACAGAUCCCAUGCAUACCCUGAAGGAAAGAUAGAGGAUGUACUAGUGAAGGUUGACAAAUUCAUAUUUCUAGUGGAUUUAAUUGUGCUGGACUUUGAAGCUGAUAAAGAGGUACCCAUUAUACUUGGAAGACAUUUUCUAGCAACUGGAAAAACUCUGAUAGAUGUGCAGAAAUGAGAGCUCACCAUGAGAGUGAAUGAUCAGCAAGUCAUAUUUUAUGUACUAGAAGCUAUGAGGAACCCUGAUGAAGUAGAAGAUUGCAAUUUCUUAAGUGUAGUAGAUUUUUUUGUAGCCGACAGAAUGGACAGAUGCUGCAGUAAUGCACUUAACAAAGUCACCACCUUUGAGGAGGUCGAAGAGGAAGAUGUUGCAGCAAUCCAGACAGACUGGAUGGACAAACAACAAUCUGAUAGGCACAACAGGUUUAUUGAACACCUGAAUCUUUCAGACAGGGAAGUAAAAAUAACUUUACCAUACAGGGAAGUAAAAAAAACUUUACCAUCUAUUGAAUCACCUCCUAGUUUUGAAUUAAAAUUGUUACCUUCACAUUUGAAGCAUGCUUAUCUUGGUCAAAACAACACACUCCCUGUACUCAUUUCUUCUACUUUAGAUGCAGGUCAAGAACAAAGUCUAGUAGAUUUGUUGGGAAAAUACAGAAGAGCAAUUGGAUGGACCAUGGCAGAUAUAAAGGGGAUAAGCCCAUCAAUAUGCAUGCAUAAAAUCCUGUUAGAAUAUUGUUCCAGCAAUUCGGUGGAGCACCAGAGAAGGCUGAACCCUAUUAUGAAAGAAGUGGUGAAGAAGGAAAUCAUCAAAUGGUUGGAUGCUGAAUCAUAUACCUAAUAUCAGACAGUUCAUGUGUAAGCCCAGUUCAAUGUGCUCCAAAGAAAGGAGGGAUAAUAGUAAUGGCUAAUGAGAAGAAUGAACUUAUUCCUACAAGAACAAUGACUGGCUGGAGAGUAUGUAUGGAUUAUAGAAAGCUCAACAAAGCCACAAGGAAAGACCAUUUCCCACUUCCAUUCAUAGAUCAGAUGUUGGACAGACUUGCUGGAAAACAGUACUACUGUUUCUUAGAUGGGUAUUCAGGCUACAACCAGAUUGCUAUAGCUCCAGAAGAUCAAGAGAAGACUACAUUUACUUGUCUCUAUGGAACAUUUGCCUUCAGAAGAAUGUCAUUUGGGCUAUGCAAUGCUCCAGUAACUUUUCAGAGAUGCAUGAUGUCUAUAUUUUCUAAUAUGGUAGAGCAGACUUUAGAAGUUUUCAUGGAUGACUUCUCAGUUUUUGGAGAAAUAUACAAUGAUUAUCUACACAACUUGGAAGAAAUUCUUAAAAGAUGUGAGAUGACCAACUUAGUACUCAAUUGGGAAAAGUGCCAUUUCAUGGUGCAAGAAGGAAUAGUGCUGGGUCACAAGAUAUCCAAGGAUGGUAUUGAGGUAGACAAAACCAAGAUAGAGGUAAUAGAUAAACUGCCACCUCCAACUUCAGUAAAGGGUAUUAGGAGUUUUUUGGGUCAUGCUGGAUUCUACAGAAGAUUCAUUAAGGAUUUUUCCAAAGUAGCCAAACCACUGUGUUCAUUGCUGGAGCAUGACAAACCAUUUCACUUUGACAAAGAUUGCCUUCAAGCAUUUGGAGAAUUAAAGAAAGCUCUGAUCACUGCUCCAGUAGUUAUAUCUCCAGACUGGACUUUACCAUUUGAAUUGAUGUGUGAUGCUAGUGAUCACUCUAUGGGAGCAGUAUUAGGGCAAAGAAAGGAUAAAUUUUUUUACUCCAUCUACUAUGCAAGCAAAACUCUCACUCAAACUCAAAUCAAUUAUACCACUACCGAGAAAGAGUUGCUAGCAAUAGUAUUUGCUUUUGACAAAUUCAGAGCCUAUUUAGUAGGCACUAGAGUGACUGUAUACACAGACCAUGCAGCAAUCAAACACUUAAUUUCAAAAAAUGAUGCCAAGCCAAGAUUAAUUAGAUGGAUCUUAUUGCUUCAAGAAUUUGAUCUGGAAAUUAAAGAUAGAAAGUGGACUGAGAAUCAAGUAGCAGACCACCUGUCACGGCUGGAUGCAGACACAAGCACAUUGACCAAGAAAGACAUCACUGAAACUUUUCCUGAUGAACAGUUGUUGGUAGUACAGCAAGCACAAAUGCUGCAGCAGUCAGCAUCACCAUGGUAUGCAGAUUUUGCUAACUACUUAGUAAGUGGAAUGCUACCACCUGAGAUGAAAUUUCAAGAGACAAAGAAAUUUCUUCAUGAUGUCAGAAGUUAUCAGUGGGAUGACCCACAUUUAUAUAAGCUGUCUCAGAUCAAGUAAUAAGAAGGUGUGUUGCAGCAGGAGAGAUCCCCCACAUACUGGAGUCAUGUCAUGUUGCAGCAUAUGGAGGACAUUUUGGUGGUCACAGAACAGCUACCAAAGUUCUGCAAUCAAGUUAUUACUAGCCCACUAUUUUUAAAGAUGCUUAUGAAUUUGUUAAAUGUUGUAACAGGUGUCAAAGGACAGGGAACAUAACUAGAAGACAUGAAAUGCCAUUGACCAACAUCUUAGAAGUGGAGGUUUUUGAUGUCUGGGGAAUAGAUUUUAUGGGACCCUUCCCACCAUCUUUUGGGAACUUAUAUAUCCUUGUUGCUGUGGAUUAUGUCCCAAGUGGGUAGAAACUGCAGCAUUACCUACCAAUGAUGCUAAAACAGUGGUAGCUUUUCUUCAGAAGAAUGUUUUUUUCCAAGUUUGGCAUUCCUAGAGCAAUUAUUAGUGAUGAAGGCACACAUUUUUGCAACAAAAUCUUUACUGCAGCAAUGAUGAAAUAUGGAGUCAGACACAAGAUAGCAAUAACAUAUCACCCACAAUCCAACGGUCAGGCUGAAGUAUCUAACAGAGAAAUUAAAAAGAUUUUAGAAAAAGUGGUGAACCUAACAAGGAAUUAUUGGUCUUUACACUUGCAUGACUCUCUAUGGGCCUACAGAACAGCAUACAAAACUCCCCUAGGCAUGUCUCCUUACCGAAUUGUUUAUGGAAAGGCUUGCCAUUUGCCAUUAGAGCUAGAGCAUAAAGCACAUUGGGCACUAAAGAAAUUAAAUUGGGACAUUCAUACUGCAGCAGAGCAAAGGAAGCUUCAACUUUGUGAGCUUGAUGAAUUACGACUAUUUUCAUAUGAAAAUGCAAGAAUCUAUACAGAGAGGACAAAGCACUGGCACGACAAGCAUAUUCAGCACAAGAAUUUCACCCCUGGUCAAUUAGUGUUGCUCCACAAUACAAGACUAAGAUUAUUUCCGGGAAAGCUCAAGUCACGAUGGUCUGGCCCGUUUAAGCUGUUAAAAUCCUAUCCUCAUGGAGCUGUUGAUCUUCUAGAUGAACAAACAGGCCACGAAUUCAAAGUUAAUGGACACAGGGUUAAGCACUACAUACAUCCAGCAGCAGAAUGUUCAAAGGAGGUGUUACUCCUUAAAGAACCCAGCUAAUGAACAAUGAAAGAAGGUCAGGCUGAAAAACCUUAAAUCAAGCGCUCCAUUGGAGGCAGCCCAUUGUAGAGACAGCCACUUCAAACCAAUUUUGAUCUCCUUUGGUUUAGUUCACAACUCUCCCUCUUUACCAUUUUCUUUAAUUUUGUUCUUUCAUUCUCGCUAUUUAAUUUUAUCUUUUCAAAUUAUUUCAUUCUUUACUUUUGCUACCAUUCAAUCUAUUUUUUAAAAUGUUAGAAUUAAUUUGAAUUUGUGGGAAGUAUGUGUGACAAUUGAAAUCCAUAUUGACAAGUGAGGUUGUAUGGUGGCAGAGUACAGAGAUGAGCCACGUGUCAAAGGCUUUCAUGUGGAGUAUGUACCGUUGCUAGAGUAAGCGAAUGGGUACUAUAGCAACCAAUUUUACCGUUACAGUAAAUUGAAAGAUUGAGCCUCUCACUUACCGUUGGAGAUAAAUAAUGACAGAUGGAGGCUUGGAUGUGGAUAGAAAUUACGAAUAAAUCUCUGAAAUUAAUGCCUUCAAUUUACUAGCCGAUAUUUUUGGGAUAUUCGCUUUAAAUUAAAAAAUAUAUUCUUCCCUCAUUUAUCUUUAGUACCGUAUUUAUCUCCAAUUAAAAGUCCACUAUAAAAAGGAGUCAUUGUGCUUAGUGCUCUAUGCCAUUUUUCCCAAUCUCCUUCGCAAAUCCAACUCUCCUAAUUCUUAACCUCUUCUUCUCUUUUUACUCUCAGAAACAGUAGCCGCAAUUUGUUACUGCUACAGCAAUGCCGAGAUAUAAGAAAAUAGCUAGCCGCCUCAAAGAUCCGUCACGCUUCCAGAGUUACCACGCCGAGGAAAAAUAUGAAGAAUUCAUAGAGCCGCGAAGGAUUCUGGAAGAAAAAGGGUUUCAAUUUCCAAACCAACUCACGGGAAUUGUGCAAACAAUUCAUAAUGCUGCAGCAAAGCAAGCAUGGCUAAAGUUUUGCAACUACCCUCGAGAUCAUGUGCUGCCUGUAGUCAAAGAAUUUUACGCCAAUUUGGUAAGCCUGGAUCAACACAAUAUUUGGGUAAGAAAUACACUUGUCCCAUUAGACUCUUGUGUUAUCAAUGCUUUUUAUAACUUACCUGCUGAAAUUACUUGUGAGUAUGCUAAGUUGCGUGAUAAGUUAACCCCGAAAAAGUGGAACACCAUUUUCACAACUCUUACAAUCGAAGGGGCAUCAUGGGCUAACAAGGAAGGGCGUGUAGUUAAUAGGAUAUAUUUCAAACCUAUUGCUAAGGUGUGGGUGAAAUUUCUGAAAUCUAGGCUUAUGCCCACCACUCACACUACUACAGUUUCGUAAGAACGGUUGGUCUGGCUAUAUGUCAUAGUUCAAGGGCUCCCCAUAGAUGUAGGUAGCAUCAUUGCAAAAGAAAUUCGAGAUUGUGCAGUCAAGACUCACUGAACUGCUGCCUUGCUAUUUCCCUCACUCGUCACCAGCAUUUGUGUAGUUUCAGGUGUUCUUCUUGACGCCAGACACGACCAUGUCAAGAAUGAUGGUGUCUUUACAACACGAACUAUUGAGAGAGUUGCUGGUGAGAGUGCUGGAACAACCACUGAACCAGCUACUGUGAUAGGAGCAAGACGAGCUAUUGGCUUAGAACAAACCAUCCAAGCACUCAGCACAAGUAUAACUCAAUGUGCGGAAGCACAGUAGCGGAAAAAUAAUCGGUUUUGGAGCUAUCUCCAGCACCUGGACAACCAACUACACCAAUUUGCUCUGUACAUGAAACGUACUCAUCGGAACUUCCCUGAUGCACUGCUCCAGCAGUACAAUUUUGACACCAACACCACAGAUGCUCCAGCAGAGGCUAGUGCAGAAGCCACUGCCACAGAGGAACCAGCAGAAGAGGCUAUAGCCGAACCACAAGCAGAAGAAGAAUCAAAAGACGCUGAAUAAUCUGACCAGCCUGAGGAAGAAGGACAACUCAGAGACAGAACAUGAGGAACCAACCAUCCCAACCCAGUCUAAAGCUAGGAAAAAGCACAUUAUUCAAGAAGAGGAGGAGGAAGACAUUGAAGAGGAACCCUCUAUUCCAGUCCUUGCGGGCAAAGGGAAGGACAAAGGUAAAGUAAAAUUGGCAAUACGUCCAACCUCUGAAGAGGAUAAGGGGCAAGUUGAUGCUGAGCUGGUUACUGCAGCAGCCAGAGCUAUGCCUACACCUGAGCAAGCCAAGCAACUACUUGCGGUUAUUGCUGCCAUCACAGCUGAGGGUCAGGCAGCUGAUGCAUUAACUCAAAUGCCUCCACAACAAACUCCUAGUCAGCCUAUUCGCACCAGUCCUAGACAAUCCAGCAAACGAAAAGGCAGUACGUCUACAGGUACUGCUACAGCAACCCCAGCCACAACUCCUCUCACCAGCCCCGCGACGAAAAAGACAAAGACAUUGCCAGCUACUUCAUCAAAAGCUUCACCAAAGGAUAAGCUGCGCAAUGCAUCCAAGAAGCACUAAUAGCAUCCCAUCAUGUGCUGCAGUCCCCACCAUAGGGGAGUACUCUUUCCUUACUAGUUCGUUUUUAUGAAAAAAAAAAUUUAUGUUUGUCAAUGUGUGUGGUAUUUUCCAAGGUUUUCCAUAUCCUUGUCAGUUUGUGUGCCUUUGUUAUGUAUGCUUGUGAGGACACAACAUCUCUCAAGUUUGGGGGGGUUGUUUCCGAAUGCAUGUGUUUAUGUAUGUAUUUAUGUUUGUGUUGUGUGAAGCUUUGUUAUCUACUAUUUGUGUAUGGAUUUGAAAACCUAAUGAAGAUAAAUUGAGUGUUAUUCAGUAUUUAUGAGAAUGCCAAGUAGAGACAGUUAUAGAUAGAAAUGGAACUCUGUCCCAACACUUAGACUUUGGUUAAGUUGUAUGAGACUGCUAGAGCAGAACCAGAAGAAUAGAAAAUACCUUAAGUUGAAGGGAGAAGCAAGUUAAUUGAUUGUGAUAUUUAUGAAAUAAAACUCUGCUCCAAUGGCUCAAGUCGCUGAGUAACCAGAUCUGAGUAUGUACCCCAUAUGCAGAAUUGUGUAAAAGGUAGCGAGAGUUAUGAGCAAUGCUGUAGCAAAUAAAAAUAAAAAUAAAAAUAAGAGAGAAAAAGAAGUCCUCUGUCUACGGCAUUGAGUAGCCAGGUCUGUUCAUGAACCCCAUGUUCAGCCUUGAGUAAAAGAUACCUCUAGAUAAUAUUAGACCGCAAAUAUUGCUGCAGCAACUCUGAUCUGGGCAUGGUUUGAGUAAUUGUGUGUUAUCAUUAUAAGUGAUAGACAUUCACAUGAAAGAUAAAUGUUACAGUGAGGAGGUUGAUUACUCCCCAGUUUAUCAAUGUUAAAACAAUCACAGUUUGAGUAUGUGAAACUUAUGUUACCCCAUUUAUGAAUGAAGUAUAUCACUGCUGAAAUUUAUGCAGUCCUUUGGUGAUGUUACAGCAUAUCUGGAAUUCAAUCAAAGGAAGCACACACACAGAAUGGACAGAAAGAAGCUUAAGUCUAGAACUGAUUUACUAUGGGCAUUGUGUAUGAUUGGGAUUGUGAUCUGAAGGUGGAAGAAUCCUUGUAAAUUUGAUAAAAGAGCUAAAGUUGUGUGCAUGUUUGUUUGCGGGAAAUGUUAGUAUGUGUCAUUACUUGAGGGCAAGUAAUGGUUUAAGUUUGGGGGUGUGAUAACUCUAGGAAAUGAGAGUUAUUACAUCAAUUCUAGACUUGAAUCAAGAGCAUUUAGAGAACAAAUAAGGUGUUUUUUAUUACAGUUUCAUUACAUUUUGCCUAAACAUUCAUUUUAGUUGAGUAUUAAUAAGUUUUGCUUGAAUCAUAGUAAUUUGUGCUAAAAACAUAUGCAUAAUUGUAGGUUCUCAGAAAGUCUUAAUUCAUGAGGGGAUGUUGAGACAUUAGAGGAGCAAGAGGAGGAAAGAAGACGGCCAUAAAAGAAGAGAAGCACAAUCGAGAGCAAUGCAGUGCAGUUGCAGAUGUUAGAGCAACCCGUGCUGUAGCAAUUUGGAAGUAAAUACGGGAGAAAACUUAGGCGCGGGUCAGUGCAUGUUUCCUAAUUUAACGUAUGCACGCUCAUGGGCUUAUGUUUACCCUAAUUUACAAUAUAAAAGGGAAGCGUGCAUCACAUAGGAAGGCGGCAAGGAAAUUAUCAUUAGAAUAAUUACAAGGAACGAAGAAGAAGAAGAUUGGAAUUGAAGAGUGUUGUCUCGGCAACAUUGGAAAAUCGUGCAGAAUUAAUUGGAUUUGUCUUCACCGUGCUCAAUUUAUAUUUAUCUUCUUCCUUUAAUUGUUUUGAUGUAUUCCGAGAUUCAAAUAUUUAUGUUUAUUUUUCUCAUUCGGAAUAUGAACUAAAUUUACUUGCAGUUGAGUGACAAAUAAUCCGAUGGGUUCUUGACUGUUCUUAUAUGUUGUUACGGUGUUGCUGUAGCAUUUUACUCUAGUAGAUUUUUAUGAUUAUAAUUGUUAUUUCGGUUGACCACCCAUUUAAUAGCUUCAGUUAAGAUAGAGAAGCAAAAGGGCAUGUCUUAGCGGAUAUUAUUAGAGUACUACUUGAUCUUAAGUCGAGUUUCCUGGAUUAAGUUAUCUUAAAUCUCAUAGGGGCAGUACUUGAAGUAAAGAUUUGUGACACACUAGAAAUAGGUGUUCACCUUGUAGGGUGGAGAGAUUAAAGGUUAUAAUGUCGUACCAUAAAUAUAUUACCAACUGGUCAUUGUUAUUAGAUUUAAAGGUAUGAGACUUCCAACAUGCGAUAGCUGAGGAUGCAGAUUUAUUCUGCCCAGUGCUGCAGCACUUAUCAUAACAACGGGCACUGACUUGAUAAACAACAGUCAUCCCAUUAGGAGAGUUUGAUCAUUCAACUGCUAUAAUCUCAAUUGAAUCUUAGACAUAUUUACCCUAGUUUAUUUCAUUACAGUAUUGUUUUAUUUCUAUCUCUCGCAAUUAUUAAUUACGAUAAAAUUAUUUGACAAUUGUUUGUUUGGGUCUUUAGUUGAUUUGCGCUAUAGUGAUUGCUUUAGCAUUUUGAGUAACAUCAAUCCCUGUGGAGACGAUCUUGAAUUCUCAUUACUUUAUUACUUGUUGUGUAAACUUGCACAUUGGCAUUGAUAAUAAUUGAUUAUAAAAAUCAACCAACACUCGGUAUGGUAUUUAUUUAUCUCGAUGUGUUGGAUGUGUCGUAGAGAAUGUGGUCAGUUAACUUUCAUUAUUACUUUCUCAAUGGGAUCUUCUUCUGUUUGCAAAGGUAGAUGAAAGAAGCAAGAAUGAAUCUAUUAAUCUUUUAAAGAUGUCUUUGAUUGAUCUUGGAAGCUCUCCUAAGGAACUACUACUCAAAUGAAAAAAAGAGUCCCACUUACGAGUUUUUGCUUUACUCAGCGAAACCAAGGCUACCCCUUUCUUUCAUGCAGAAUCUAUGAAUGCGCUUACCUUGACUAACCUACCCGCCUAGAUAAAGGAAGGAUACCGAAUGCUUAUCUUCAUAAACAUCAUAAAAGAAGUCUAACUGGAGUCAUUAUUAGGAGGAACUUAUUGGAUUGAUAAUGAAAACUAGACUAAUGGGUAGUGAAUUGGGCCUGGAUGCUCAAAAUAUCAAAUACUUUUUUGUUUCAAAGCUUCCGCCUAUAAAGUAAUAGGAUGAUCGUGAAUAUCCCUAGUCGAUGGAUUGAAUAUUCUAAGCCUACCUAAAAAAGUCCUGCUUGGGGGUGAGACAGCUCUCCCUACCCAUUAGGGAAGGGGUCGAGACAGGGCAAACUCAAGGGACCCCCCUAGCGUAAGCGUAAAGAAAAGGCUUGCAUUAAGCAGUGGGCCACCUUCGACUUAUCCAAAUUUUAACCAUCUACUCCACCUGCGGAAAAGGUUUGAUUCCUUUCAUAGUAUACCUCGGAUGAGUAAGCCCCUUUGGUUUGUCCAAGGGGCAGUAGUUAAUUUGCAUUUGUUUGCAGGUGUUUAUUUUCCUUUCACGUUUAUCAAGUGUCAUCUUUUUAACUCUACCUCAUUUUCUUUAGACAUUGAGGACAAUGUCUCGAUCUAGUUAAGGAAGGGGACAGUUGAUAUUUAAAAAAAAAAAUUGUAUUUGUUUCACUUCUCAAAACAAAAUUCAAACUAGCCAGUUUUUGUUUAAAGAUGGCGAAGUAUGAGUUUUUUUUUGUUUUACUCCAGAGACACAUCAUUUUAUAUUUUUAACAAAAGCUAUUUUUCUUCUUUUCUUUUCAAAUUAAUUUAAUUUGUGAGCUCUUCUUUCAAAUAGCUUGUACUCAUCCAUUUUGUUUCAUUUGAUUAUCUGACAGAUGUUACUAAACCAUUCAGGACACACACGCCAUGACACAUACUUGUAGGUUGUAAAUUGAAAUAGCUAAUACUUAGUCCUCUUGGAUUGUUGGAGGUAAUGUCUACAACAGUGAAAAAUGUAUGUUUUAUUUAUUUAUAAAACUAAAAAAUCAAAAAAUCAAACUUUUGCUUCAAACUUUUGCUUAAGUUUCUUUAUUUAUUAUUUUAAAAUGAAACAUUUAUUUUCUUUAAUUCAUUUUUUAUUAUAACAAUUUGUUAAUUAUUAACUCAUUUCAAGUUUACGAUAAUUUAAAAAAAUAAAAAAAUAAGUGAAAGGCCAAGCUCGGGCACAAGCCUGCACCCUAGUGUUGGACCAAAGAGGUAGCAAUUCUUUUAAAGAUUUAUGAGUCUCCAAAUCUAAAUAUUACAUUUUUUUUUUAUCCAAAUACCAUGAAUCUAGGGAUAUUCCUACAAAACAAAAGAAUCACACUUCAGACUAAUAGACAAUUCCUAAAAUGGGCUAGGAAUUUGUAAAUGUUAUGAAAUUGUUAGCGUUAUCAACAUUGUAAGUGAAAAAUGACAAUUUUAACGUUUCUUAAAUGACACUUUUUAGUGUUAAUCAAUUUUAAUUCAAAAAUGAAUUUUUUUCCUUGAUUUAUGGUGAUUGCUAGUUGUAAAGUUGUUGUAAAUGAUUAAGAACUAUAAGGAAUUGUAGGCUAGGCUGCUAAAUUGUUCAAACCUCUAAAAGUGAAUAAGUUUUUUUAUUUAUUUUUUAUAUCUCAUGGGUAGCAAACUAAUCCAUAAAAUGCAAAUAAAAUCCUUGAGUGAAAGAGAUAUUUUUAUGAUUUUACUUUCUUCCCAUGAUAAGACGACUAAGUUCUUUAGAUAAGAUUAUGUUAAUGUUAGCGAUUAGGUUGCGUCGCUUGCCAAGUAACAUGGCUUAUAAGGAAUGGUUGAGUUUAGGAUGAAAUUAGAGUUUCUGAAGGUUUAAGAGCCUGAGCCUGAGCCUGAGAUUGGCACCAGAUUGGAGAUACUGAUCUUGUUCCAACUUAAUUAUAGGCCUGCACACCAUUAGAUAGUAUUAGGCUUUUUAUGAGUUUUCUAAGGUUAUAAAUUCUCUAUUAGCCCUUUAUAGAAGGCAUUUCGUUGUGGGCCAAGCAUUCCCAAAAUGGGUUUGGCCAAAAGUUAAAUGCACAUCGGCCUGAUGUGCCUUCCAAACCACAAUCCAAAAUGGAUGCCCCAGUAAAUAGAGGACUUGGGUCCACCAUGAAUAUGUACCUUAUAGUCGACUUGGGCUUUUGAGCCUAAUGACAAUUUUUAAGUAGCAACACAUAUCAUAUGGAUUUAGUUUCAAAUUAUGUAAUUAUUAAUUAUAUGAACAAACAUAAGGAUGAUUAUGUACCAUUUACUACUUGAACGAAGUGAAUCAACAAUAAAGAACUUUUAUCAAACAUUCCUAAAAUUAAUAAGGUUGUCACUUGUAAAAAGUAACAUUACCGAAUUUUAAGCAUAAUGUUGCGAGAGUUCAAGGUGGGAAACAUUACAUGCAAAAAGUACAAAUUAAAGCAACUACAUGCCAAAAGGGAAAUUUACAAAGCACCAAUAGCAAAAGUUUGAAAUAGCAUUAUCAAGGGAGUAAGGCAUCAAUAGAUAAAGAAAGAUUGGUCCUAAUUGUCCUUUGGGAUGUCAUCGAGUUAGAUAGUAGUCAAUAGGGAAAUGUUUAAGAAGGAUUUAUCUCCUUAGAUUGCACUCCUGCCAGCAAGUCUAGAAACGGUUGUAACAUCUACAGGUGGAAUGAACGGGGAGCAAAUCAUGAACUGGAUCGUUAUAUUGGGCUGUUGGUUUGUCAUUACCAAUUCCUGGCUGCCUUAUCAUUUGAAGGCAAGUCAAAAUCAUUGGGCUAGGCACUUCAGAUUAAUAAUCAUCCAAGAAUUUUAAAUCAUAUUCGAGGUAAUGAUCUCUCAUCGCCCUCUUGCAAUCAUUAACCUCAGCAAAGAACUCCUUACCCUUCACCUGCCUAAACUCAUUUGACUAAAGGUAAGCCUCAACAUGGCUUUAGUAACUGUCUUUGAGUUGUUUCCUCAGAUGAGACAGAUCUUUGUCUUUGUUCUUAGUGACCCUAUUAUUGAUGUUAUACUCCAACUUGAGAGACUCAUGGAUGGAUUUGAAGGUAGCCAAUUCGAAUUUUAAUUGAAGCACCUCGUUGCGAAUUUCUUUCAUUCGGCUUUGGCUUUCAAAUAUUCACUUUUCGAACCUCAGUGCAAAUUGUGUGCUUGGAUCAUGUUCAUUAUAGCUUACAAUACUCAAAUGAGAAGCCUUACUAGUAAGAGGCAUUAAAAAGAAACAAUAAAAGGAUUCGAGGAAGAAUUAUAAGGAUUAACCUUAUAUGUGUAGCCUAUGAAGGCAGUAAAUUGAACCUCUAGGUCUGUGAGUUUUGGCUAAAAACAUUCCUAGUGAGAAAAUGCUCUCUUUAAGGAUAAGGGUUGGCUAAGUCAUGCUCAAGUUUACUGUGUUGAAGAUUCCAGUGGCCAAGUCUUUAAACAAGAGCCCAGAAAUAUGCUCAAGGGAUCUAAGACAAGUUGGCAUGUGAGUUUUCUCCCCAGCCCAUGGAUUACUAAAUGGAAUCGAGUGAGUAGAGGCAGCUUUAAAGACUGAGAGAGAGUUAAUGAAGUAACAGCCUCAUGCUUUCAAGGGGUAGAUCCACUAGGAGGUAAGUUGACUAGCCUCUUUCUUUUCUUACUAUCUAUCUAAGACAUGGCAACUUUGCACCUAACAAUAGCAAUUAAGCAUAACAAAAAAAAAAAAAAAAUAACAAGACAACCAUGGACAUUGAAGAGAAAUUUCACUAGUUGGAAUAAGACCAAACUCCUACUAAACAAAGAAAUCACAUCCAGGUGUAAAAUGUUGACUUGAGCGCGUUCAAUGUUGUUUAGCAAAUUUGCAGGCAAGACUAGGGUAGAAUGCCAAAUCCCUAUAUCAAGAAUAAAUUUAGAUGAGAAAAAUAAAGUGUUCACAUUUGCAAGGGCAAACAUGACUUGGAAUUCAAAAAGAAAUAGGAGCAGGAUCAUCAUUAUUGAGGUCAUUAAAGUGACAGUUUUUAAAAGCAAAAAAUCAAGAAUCUUUCUAGCUUUUAAUCUAACCAAGGAAGUUAUGGGGAUAAUGGAAGCAACACAAGCCCAGCCAAUUAAGUAGUUCAACUGCUCUCUUUAGCCAUUGAUUUAAUUUGAUAUAACCUCUUGAAUUCAUUGAAAGAAAAAUCAAAUUAAAUUCUUGAACGCUUCCACAGUACAUAAUGGCCAAGAUGAGCUUUAUAAACCACGGGGUUAAGUUGAGCAAGAAUAAUAUUGAGAGACCUUAAAAAAGAACGAAUGAAAAUAUGCAAGGGUAAUCUAGACCUUGCCUUGAAUGUAGAGGGAUACAAAGCUACCAAACCAUCAAGAGGAUCUACCAUGUUAUUGUUAGGUUGUGGAAUCCUAAGCUCUAUGGAAUCGGGAAUAUUAAAAUCUUUCCUUAGCUUGUCGAUAGUGCACAAAGUGGCUUUUGAUUCCUAUUGAGCAAUUGAAAACCCCUCUAUUGAAACGCCAUGAUCGUAGUGUUGAGUGUUAGAAAAUGUAUAUUUAUAAAGGAAAAAAUUAUCAUUUUACACUUCACGUUUCACUAACAUUCCUACUUUUAUGUAUUUAAGUUUUUUGUCAUUUAAUUAUGUGUGUUGUAUUAUAAUUAAGUAUUUUAUGUAUUUUAGGGGCAUCAUGGUCAUUUCACAAUAAACGAGAGAUUAGAUGGCAAAACGGACAUCACUUUUGAACUCAGGACGGUCGAAAACCUUAGGAGGAGCAUAAAAAGAAAAAUGGCACUAUUCACAUGUACGGUACUGUCUACGUUACUGUUCACAACACUGUUCACAUAGACGGAUCGAUGACGUGGCAUUGACCGAUGAUGUGGCAUUGACUGAUGAGGUGUCAUUAUCAUGUUGGACUAAAAUUCUUAUGUACUGUUGAUGGUGACGUGGCAGCAUAUCAGUGGACCAAAAAUCUCGCGUACGGUACAUGCAUUACACAGGAUUAUUUUCAACCAAACCGCGUUACUGUUCAAGCCGGGUCAAACCGUGUUACUGUUCAAACCGCGUGGUCAAACUACGUACUGUUGACUGAUGACGUGGCGCAAUCCUGAGCGUCCAAACUGUUUUUAAUCCGAUGGCCAUGAUUUACUCAAUGUAUCUAUAAAAAAGGGGCCUCCCCCACCUAAUUUGAUAGCUCUGAAUCCAUUUUUUGACUCUAUUUUCUAUAAUUCCUUCUCCAUCUUGUAUUUUCUACGUAUUUUAAUAAAUUUCUAUGUUACCCCUAUUUCAAUUAUGAGUAGCUAAUUUUCUUUCAAGUUUGGGUUGAAGGUGAAGUCUCAACAUGUGUCAUGGGCUUUAUUUGGUAAAUUUAUUUUCUCUUCCCCUCUAAUUUUUGUAGAUGAUUUGACUUUUCGUCGACAAAUAAUAAUAAUCUUGUCUAGAUACCGCCUUGGUUUCACCGGCUCUCUAGUACAAGGUUAUUAUUAUUUGGCACGAUAAGCCCUUAGCACCAUAUUGAUUAGAGUGUGGUUCAUGAGGUGUGGAUUCCCCCUCAUGAUUUAAUUGGUAUUAAUAAUGAAUAUUUAGCCCAUGGUGCAUGUUGAUGCAGAUCCAAAUACCCAAGCGCUUCAAUUAUAAUAGUUUCCAUUUUAAUUUAAUUCUGUCAUUCCAAUUUCAAUUCUAAGAUAGUCUAAAUCACUUUCACCACAAAUCCAACCACCCAUUUAGAAAAAUUAAUUCUACACACAAUUAAAAUCCACCUCCUCGUGGGAUCGACACUCGUCACCAUUGAUCUAUUCUACAAUAGAUUCGUGCACUUGCGAGUUCAAUAAAAUUUGCACAACAAGUUUUUGGCGCCGUUGCCGGGGAGAUAAGUUAUUUUAAUUUGUAGAAUUAAUUUUUAUGAAUAAUUUCUUUUAUUUGUUUUCUUGUAUUUUUUUUAUUAAAAAAAAAGAAAAAAAAAAGUGAAUCUGCAUUUAGAGGUGAUAUGUUAUUUUCUUUCUCUAUUCUUUACAAUUCUGCAAUUUAAUUUUUAAGUUAUUUUUCUUUGUAAUUUUUGUUUAUCUUAUUAAUUUAAUUUUUAGUCAAUUUAUUUCAUGAAUUGUUUUUUUAGUGUGUUUUUUAUAGAAAUGUUUUAACAACGUAAUAAGGUUAGUACCGUAAUUUCUCAUUCUUCUUUAUUUUUAUUUAUUUUGUUCCCAUUUAUCUUUUGUUCUUUGCAUGCAUGGUCGUAGGUCAUUAUUACCUAAUCUUGAAUCUAUAGACCUUAAACUUGAGAAAACACUUCGCACACACAAACAAGUUAAAAAUAAAAUGGAUUUGCAACCACAGGAGAGGCCAUUUAAGGACUACUUCAGUCCUUUAGCUAAUUUGAGCACAUCAUGCAUAAGAUACCCAAAUUUAGCUGCUAGGAGUUUUGAACUAAAACCUAGUAUGCUAAAUUGUCUCCCAACAUUCUAUGGCCUAGAAAAUGAGGACCCAUAUAAUCAUUUGAAUGAUUUUCAUGCUAUUUGUCAAACAUUUAAAUAUGAGAAUUUUUCAGAUGAUGAUGUUAAACUUAGAUUAUUCCCAUUUUCUCUAAAGGAUAGAGCUCGUUCAUGACUCAAUACAUUACCUGCCAAUAGCAUCACAUCAUGGGAACAAAUGGUAACUAAAUUUUUGGAUAAAUAUUUCCCAGUGCAUAAAACCAAUGCUAUUCGCAGGGAAAUUUCAGAGUUUACCCAGAGAGAAGACGAGCAGUUUUUCGAAACAUGGGAGCGAUUCAAUGGGCUACUCUUGAAGUGUCCACAUCAUGGGUACGAGAAAUGGCACCAAUGCCAAUACUUUUUGGAGGGAUUAUUACUGAAUGUGCAAGAAUGACUAAUGGCAACAAGUGGAGGAGAGCUAAUGUCAAAAAGUGUAUCAGAAAUUUGGGAAUUCUUCCAGCGACAAGCGGAUAAUUCACAACAACGGAGUCGAUCACUCAGGAAUACUAGAAGAACUAAGGGAGUAAAUGAGGUUCACAUUGGCGAGUCAAGUUCAGAAAUUAAAGAAGUCAAGGAGAUAAUUGAAGGUCUCUCUCGACAAAUAGCAUCGUUAACGACUGCUAAAUCAACAGAGCCACAUGACCAUGACUCAUACUCAGAUCAAGCCAAUGCCAUAGGUGUAAUGAGAAAACCAUCGAAUUACAACCUAUACUCCAACACAUAUAACCCUGGAUGGAGAGUGUUGGUUGAUUUAUAUAAUCAAUUAUUAUCAAUGCCAAUGUGCAAGUAUACACAACAAGUAUACACAACAAGUAAUAAAGUGAUGAGUGUUCAAGAUCAUCUCCACAAGGAUUGAUGUUACUCAAAAUGCUAAAGCAAUCACAAUAAUGCACGUCAACUAAAACCGAAACAAACAAUUGCCAAAUAAUUCUAUCGUAACUAAUAAUUGCGAGAGAUGGAAAUAAAAUAAAAUCGUAAUAAAAUAAACUUAAUUUAAUGUGUCUAAGAUUCAAUUGAGAAUGUAGUAGUUGAAUGAUCAAACUCUCAUAAUGGGGUGACUGUUGAUUACCGAAUUAGCACCAGUUGUUAUAAUAAGUGCUGCAGCACUGGGUAGAACAAAUCUGCUUCCGCAGCUAUCGCAUGUUGGAAAUCUCAUACCUUUAAAUCUACUAACAAUGACCAGUUGCUCAUAAAUUUAAUGUAUGGCUUUAUGAUCUUUAAUCUCUCUACCCUACAAGGUGAACGCCUAUGUCUAGGAUAUCACAAAUCUUAAUUUCAAGUAUUGCCCUUGUGGGAUUUAAGAUAACCUAUUCCAGGAAAUUCAACUUAAGAACAAGUAAUACUCCAAUAAUGUCUUCUAAGACAUGCCCUUUUGCUGCUCUAUCUUAACUGAAACUAUUAAAUGGGUGGUCAACCGAAACAACAAUUAUGUUCAUAAAAGCUAUUAGAGUAUAAUGCUACAUCAUUAUCAUAACAACAUAUAAGAACAGUCAAGAACCCAUUGGAUUAUUUGUCACUCAACUACAAGUAAAUUCAGUUCAUAUUCUGAAUGAGAAAAAUAAACAUAAAUAUACUGGUCACCAAAUACAUCCAAACAAUUUCAAGGAAGGAAGAUAAUAUGAGUUGAGCACGAUGAAAGACUAGUGAAUCUCUUCGUUCUUCAAUGAUGCCGAGCAGUCCUCCUUCCCCUCUCGAUAUUCUUCUUCGUCUUGCCUUUUUAAUUCCUUUGAUGGUAAUUUUUCUCUGCCGCCUCUAUGUGGUACACGCCUCCUUUAUAUAUUGCAAUUUAGGUUAAAACCAACGCCCAUGAGCGUGCAUGUGUUUAAAUUAGGAAACAUGCAGAUUGUAAUUUUAUUGUUGACCCGCGCCUAAGUUUUCUCCCGCAUUGCUUCCAGAUUGCUGCAGCACUGGUUACUCCAACAUCCACAACAGCACUUGUAUUAUUUCUUAUUGUGCUUUUCUUAUUUUGUGACCAUCUUUUCUCCUCCUCUUUCUCAUCUAAUGUCUCUGCAUCCUUUCAUGAAUUUAAAACCUAUAAAUUAACACCUGUUUUUAACAUAAAUUACUAUGAUUCAAGCAAAACUUGUUAAGACUCAACUAAAAUGAAUGUUUAUGCAAAAGGUCACCAAAAUGUAAUCAAAACACAUUAUUUGCUUUCUAAAUGGCCUUUAUUCAAGUCUAGAAUAGAUGUAAUAACUCUCAUUUCCUAGAGUUAUCAGAGAAACCACCCCAAAUUUUCAUGGUCUCAAGGAUUCCAACAGAAUGGACCAGCAGCUCCAGCUCCAUCAGUGCAACCAAUUCCUCAAAUUCCUCAAGCCUCUCAGCCACCAUUUAGACCAUACAAUCAUAACCAGAACUACUCUCAACCAAGACCAUGAGCAACAUAAUCGCACCAUUGAUGGACUACGAAAUGAGUUGAGAGCAGGCUUCAACUCACAAGCCCAAUCAGUUUCAAGCCUUGAGAAGAUGGUGGGACAGCUUGCUUCUUCAGUUCAGAUCUUGGCAAUGACUGUUGAGAAAGGCAAGUUUCCAAGUCAACCAGUGCCUAAUCCUAAAGGAGUGCAUGAAGCAAGUACCAGUUCACCACAGUAGCAUGGAGAGGUCAAAGUUAUCAUGACCUUGCGAAAAUGAAAAGAAGUGGACAAUAAAGUGGAGAUGCCGGUGACAAAAGAAAAUUAAAUUGUACCUGUGAAUGUUAAGGACUCACCAUCGGAAGAGAAAGAAUAAACUAACCCACGAGAAUAUGUUCCCAAAGCUCCAUUUCCACAGAGGUUAGCUAAAGGAAAAAAAGAAAAAUCCACAGGUGAGAUUCUUGAAAUCUUCAAACAGGUAAGUAUUAACAUCCCUUUACUUGAUGCUAUAAAGCAAGUUCCAUCGUAUGCCAAGUUUCUUAAAGACCUUUGUACUAAAAAGAGAAACAUUCAUGUUCAAAAGAAGGCAUUUUUAACAGAAAACGUUAGUUCUAUACUCCAACAUAAAAUUCCUCUAAAAUGCAAAGACUCAGGCUCCCCCACUAUCUCAUGUAGCAUAGGGAACCACACAAUUGAGAAUGCUUUGUUGGAUUUAGGAGCUAGUGUAAAUCUGUUGCCUUACUCAGUAUUUUUUAAACUUGGACUUGGAGAAUUACACCCAACUCCAGUGGUGUUACAGCUUGCAGAUCGGUCCACAAAAAUACCUCGUGGUAUUGUGGAGGACGUGCUUAUCCAGGUAGACAAGUUUUAUUUUCCUGUUGAUUUCAUUGUAAUUGACACUCAACCAAUACAGGAUUCAAGGAAGCACAUCCCUAUUAUUUUAGGCCGACCUUUCUUGGCAACUGCGGAUGCUCACAUUCAAUGCAGGACUGGAAAUAUGCAGUUGUCCUUCGGCAACAUCACUAUGGACCUAAACAUCUUCAACAUUUCCAAACAACCUCACAAUGCAGAUGAUGAAAUUGUUGAUGUGGAUUUAAUAGAAGCAUUAGUUGAUAAUACUUUUCUUUCAAACCUUAGUGAUUAUCCUUUACAAACAUGUUUAACUCACUUUGGUUUGGAUUUUGAUAUUGACAGAUCAGUCGAUGAGGUCAAUACUCUACUUGACUCAGCACCAUCCAUGGAUACAUAUAAAUAGAAGUCAAGAGUUGAACAACUAGCACCAUCAGAAAAGAAACUCAUCCCAUCAUCAGAAUCACCACCGAAACUCGAGCUCAAACAAUUGCCCAACACUCUGGAAUAUGCAUUUUUGGGAGAAGAAAGUACUAUGCUGGUAAUCAUCUCAUCAUCCCUCAAUGACGAACAAAAAGGUAAGUUGUUAGAUGUUUUAAAAGAGCACAAAGGAGCAUUAGGAUGGACCAUAGCGGACAUAAAAGGUAUAAAUCCAGUAGACUGCAUGCAUUACAUUCACCUUGAUGAAAAUGCUAAAUCUACUAGGGAAAUGCAACGUCAGUUAAAUCCUAACAUGAAAGAAGUUGUUAGAACUGAAGUCCUUAAGCUAUUAGACGCAGGUAUCAUUUACCAAAUUUCUGAUAGUUCAUGGGUCAGUCUUGUACAAGUUGUCCCUAAAAAGUCAGGAGUCACAGUAGUUACCAAUGCUGAUAAUGAAUUAAUACCCACUAGAGUGACUACAGGAUGGCGUGUAUGCAUUGAUUAUAGAAAGUUGAAUUCUGUCACACGUAAAGACCGUUUUCCUUUACCAUUUAUCGACCAAAUGCUUGAUAGAUUAGCAGGCCAUGAAUUUUAUUGCUUUCUAGAUGGCUACUCGGGAUAUAAUUAGAUUUCCAUAGCAACAAAAGAUCAAGAGAAAACCACUUUCACUUGCCCUUUUGGCACUUUUGCAUAUAAGAGAAUGCCAUUUGGAUUAUGUAAUGCACCUGCUACAUUUCAACGAUGCAUGUUGAGCAUUUUUUCUGAUAUGGUUGAACGAUUCCUUGAAGUUUUUAUAGAUGAUUUUUCUAUCUUUGGUGACUCUUUUGAUCAAUGUUUACAUCAUCUAACACUAGUUCUGCAGAGAUGUAACAAGAAGAACUUAGUCUUAAAUUGGGAGAAGUGCCAUUUUAUGGUAAAACAAGGUAUUGUUCUCGGUCACAUCAUUUCGAGCAAAGGUAUUGAGGUUGACAAAGCAAAGGUAGAUCUCAUUUCCAAUCUUUCUCCACCUAAAACAGUCAGAGAAGUAAGAUCUUUCCUUGGGCAUGUUGGUUUUUAUAGACGUUUCAUUAAAGAUUUUAGCAAAGUUUCUAGACCCUUAUGCAAUCUACUUGCUAAGGAUGUACCUUUUAUCUUUAAUGAUUCAUGUCUUGUGGCUUUUGAAAAAUUAAAGCAAUUGUUGACAUCAUCACCCAUCAUUUAGCCCCCAAAUUGGAGCUUACAAUUUGAGCUUAUGUGUGAUGCAUCUGAUUAUGCAGUAGGAGCAGUAUUAGGACAAAGAGUUGAUCGAAUUCUCCAUGUUAUUUACUAUGCUAGUAUGACAUUGAAUGAUGCACAGUUGAACUAUUCAACUACUGAAAAAGAAAUGCUAGCAGUAGUGUUUGCAUUAGAGAAAUUUCGAUCUUAUCUCAUUGGUUGUAAAAUAAUUGUAUUCACAGAUCAUGCUACUCUUAAAUAUCUUCUCACAAAGAAAGAUGCAAAAGCUAGACUAAUUCAUUGGGUGUAACUUUUGCAGGAAUUCGACUUGGAAUUUAAAGAUAAGAAAUGCACAGAAAAUGUUGUGGCAGACCAUCUCUCUCGUCUCCAUUUUGACAUAAUUACAGAGCCAUUAACAUUGAAUGAGUCAUUCCCAGAUGAACAAUUAAUGAGUGUGGAAGUAUUACCAUGGUAUGCUGAUAUAGUUAAUUAUCUUGUUACAGGUCAACUUCCAGAGCAUUGGACCAAGCAAGACAAGGCCAAAUUUUCUGCAGAAAUAAAGAAUUUCUUUUGGGAUGACCCAUAUUUGUUCAAGUAUUGUGCAGAUCAAAUUGUUAGACGAUGUGUCCCAGAAAGUGAAAUUCAAAAUAUUCUUUCAUUCUGCCAUGAACAAGCUUGCUAAGAAAACAGCUACAAAAAUUUUACAAUGUGGUUUCUAUUAGCCAACUAUAUUUCGAAACGCUUACACUUUCUGUUCUUCAUGUGAUAGGUGUCAACGAAUGGGGAGCAUUAUACGAAGGAAUAUGAUGCCACUAAAUCCAAUUUUAGUAGUUGAGAUUUUUGACGUAUAGGGUAUCGACUUCAUGGGACCCUUUCCCUCUUCUUUUGGCCAUCAAUACAUAUUGGUUGCUAUUGACUACGUAUCGAAAUGGGUGGAAGUAAUUCCACGUAGAACCAAUGAUCACAAGGUGGUGAUAGGAUUUUUGAAAAGCAACAUUGUUUCACGCUUUGGAUCCUCUCGAGCGAUAAUCAGUGAUGGUGGUGUCCACUUUUGUAACAAAGCAUUCAAAACUCUUUUGACAAAGUAUUCAAUCACUCACAAAGUGGCGACCCCAUAUCAUCCGCAAACCAGUGGCCAAGUUGAGAUCUCCAAUUGAGAAAUAAAGCACAUAUUAGAAAAGACGGUGAGGCCAGACAGAAAAGAUUGGUCAUUAAGACUUGAUGAUGCAUUAUGGGCAUAUAGAACGACUUUCAAGACCCCGAUUGGGAUGUCACCUUAUAGGCUAGUGUAUGGAAAAGCUUGCCACCUACCUGUGGAACUCGAGCAUCGUGCAUAUUGGACCAUCAAGAAAUUCAACUUUGACAUGAAGCAAGCUAGCUCAGAAAGAAGAUUACAGCUAGCAGAACUUGAAGAAAUUCGCAAUGAUGCAUACGAAAAUGCCAAGAUUUACAAGCAGCAAAUGAAAGACUUUCAUGACAAGCAAAUUAUGAGAAAAUUGUUCACUCCAGGUCAGAAAGUUCUUUUAUUCAAUUCUCGCUUGCACCUAUUCCCAGGUAAGUUACGAUCUCGAUGGUCUGGCCCCUUUAUUGUUCAUACUGUUUUUCCACAUGGGGCAAUUGAAAUUAAGGACCCAAAGAACGGUGUCACGUUUAAAGCUAAUGGUCAAAGAUUAAAGCCAUAUCUAGAGUGCCAACCACAUGGAGAGGACACCGAAAUAAAUUUGACUGACCCACCAGAUUUGAAUUAAGUUUUUUCUUUCUUUUCGGUGAUUUGAUUUUUCUUUCUUUCUUUCUUUCUUUUUAUUAUUCUUUUACUAAUUGAAAUUAUUUUUGCAUAAAUGUGUUUGUUUAACCAUUAAGUUUUCUCUUAUCAUUGUUAAUCAUGAGUGUCAUAUCUAAACAGUUCCUCCGGACAUUCUUAAACCACUUCAACGUGUAAAAUCUCAUCUCAAAAGGCAGAUUCGAUUUUGUAAAAUACAUCGUAUUUGGGCUUUGCAACCACCAGAGUUAGUAUCCUUUGUUGAGGAUUUAGAAAGCCAACUCAGAGACAUUGAGAGAAGUGUCUACAACAUCCAGUUGGAGCUUGAGGUCAAUUCAAUAAGAGGACGAUUUUAAUUUUCUUUGUGUGUUUUAAUUUGUUUUUUUGUUUGUGUGCAUUACUUUGUUACCCCGGCGAAGUGGCGGAUAACGGUACUCUGUGACAAUCAAGUCGGUUACUUCAGUUUCCCAUAAUAACUUAUAUUCUGAGGUGAAGAUAUGGACAGAAACGAGAUUCUAGUAAAGCUUCACAAUCAAUUCCCUUCACUUCCUCAGAAUGCCCUCCUUACAAUCUAUAAAGCUCGGUCCGAACGCAUGCGAUUGCUCAUGAGGAACAACAUACCUACUGACAUCCGUUGGUUAAUCGAGGCUAAAGUACGAUUAGCAGGUGAGUUACCUCCAAAAUUUAUUGCAUACAUGUCUGGUUGUGGUAAAGAAAAUUAUGCAAGAAAACGAAGAGCUCGAAGAAUUUCUGUUGCUUGUCAUAAGUGUGCCAGAAUGAGUUGCGACAAAAACCCAUGCUCUUUAGGAAUGGUGUCUGAUAACAGGGAAGAUAAGAUUCAAUUCAUUAGGGAUGGCUUGAAUAAGGAGUCAUUGGAUGAUAUCCUUUUGUCUCUUGAAACGCAUCCCAGUGGAUAUGUGCAAGGAGUGAUUCUCCAGUUAUGGCCAUUAUUCCAGAAAAAGUAUGCAUGAUAUAGUCUCAGGAAUCUGACUAUAAACGACCAUGUUUGCCAGUUUAUAAGAAAACUGGAUGGGAAGCCUAUCCUCGACCCAUAGAGGGAGUUCAAGCUGUUUCUGGACGUAAAACCAGAGAAAAAUGUGAGCCACAGUCGCAACUACCUGUAAAUAUCCUUUUACUUCACUGUUAUUUUAUCUCACUGUUGUUUUAUCAUUUGCAUUAUUGUCUUUAAUAAAUUUAUUUUAUCAUUGUUUCUUUUUCUUUUUACUAUUUCCUUUUUUACUCACGAGCCAUGUGCUUUACGCGUUAUUUGACACUGACAUGCCACCUCAUACACAGUUGUGACCCACUGUCACCAAGAUGCUUAAAUAUGACUUUUUGUUAAGCACUCACAAAUUGUUUUUGAGAAGUAUCCCAAUGGCAGCUACUCCCAAUAGACAAUUCAAGAACAUUUGUGUGCUUUCUGGAUUUAACUAUGGCAAACAUAAAGAGUUCGUUGAGGCAGCAAUAGAUCUUGGUCGAAGCAUAGCAGAGAGAAAAUUACACUUGGUGUAUGGAGGAGGUAACCGAGGGUUAUCAAAAUUGGUCUCAGAAGCUGCUUUUAUCAGAGGAAGUUAAGUGUUAGGCAUCAUCCCAAGAGCCCUAAAACCUUUGGGCAGUUUGUCUGACUCAUCGACUGGAGAAGAGUUAGUCGUCUCAGGUAUGCAAGAAAGAAUAACUGAAAUGCUUAAUCAUGCUGAUGCUUUUAUUUUCCUUCCAGGAGAUCUUGCAACAUUAGAGGCACUUAUCACACUAGCAUCUUGGGCCCAUCUGCACAUUCACCAGAAACCCAUCGGUUUAUUAAAUGUCAAUAACUUUUAUGAUGGCUUCAUCGCAUUUCUUAACCAUGCAAUAAAAAACUACUUCAUUGCUUCCAAUGCGAAAAAAAAUUUUUAUUUGUGCUCACACUGCUAAUGAGCUACUUGAUCUGUUACAAGCUUAUAGACCGGAGCCAGACCCCUGGACCUUUGUGUUGGAGAGUCCAAAUAAUGAUGGUAACAGUAGCCACAGUAAGAAGUACAAAUUAGAUUUAACUCUCCGCUUGUAAAUAUUUUCUUCUGUGUUGCACCACCCAGGUGAUGUCUUCUAAACUCUACUUCUUUCCUUUAAAAUAUUGAGGACAAUGUUUCGUUCUGGUUGGGGGGAGGGAAUAGUCGACAAUUGUGGAAUCUUGGUUAAGUUUUUACUGAUUUUUUGUGGCAUAAACUAAUUGUUGUUAACUUUUUGUGUUGAAGAUGGCUGAAUAUGGAGUGUAGUGACUCUAGAAACGCAUCUUCAUCGUUUGAAAAAAAACGAAAAAAAAAAAUUCAGACAUUUUCUUUUUCUUUAUUUAGCUUUGAUAUUCAUUUUUCUUCCUCUUUUUAAUUUCUCCUUUAUAAAUAUAUAUUUUCCAAUAUUUGAGUCAAAGAUGGCUGAAUAUGGAGUGUAGUGCCUCUAGAAACGCAUCUUCUUAGUUAAAAAAAAAACUCAUUUUCUUUUUCUAUCAUUUUAAGUGUAACUUUUCUAAUUAGUUUUUCUGCAUCAUUUUCACAUUUCUAAAUGCAUAUUUUCCUUUCAUGUUUAGAAUAGGUUGGGGGUAGGAUGUUGUUUAAAAAAAAAAAUGUGUGAUUUGUUUUAACAUUGGAUGACAUGAUUAAUUUCAAAUUUUAGUAUUUGUAUUAUCUUUGGUCUCAAGUGAUGUUACACUAUGUUUGCUACUCUACAUGUUGAUGUCGGAGACAAAUAUUAGUUGCUUGAAGAAAUGAACAUGUCAUAAUAAGUACCAAGUGAGUUUUUGAGCCUAUCAUUUUUCUUGGAGAGUAACACUUUUGCUCAUUCUUUAUACAGCUUAGUAGUUUAUUAUUUUAUACACGAUCUCUAGAUUUCUUUUGAGUUAACCUUUAAAAAAAAAAAAUGUGUGUUGCUACAUUUGGAGGCCCAUCUAACUAGUAGAUACGGAAGAUUAUUUAGAGCCCUAAAAGACGAUGGAAAUGUCAUCUUUGAUCCGUUUGAGCCUUUCUAGCCAUCCCUUUUAUGAAAUAUCCAUAGUUAACCCUUUUGAGCCUUUAAAAAUAUAUAUAUAUAUUUUCUUUGUCAAACUUAUCAUCUUGACCCACUCCGAUUUGGAGUAUUACCUAAUAUCUUACAAGUUCCAUCACAUAUUUAUGUUUGAGAAAAAUGUAAAUAAUUAUUUUGUUCAGUGAAGUUAUAUCAAACAAAAGCAAAAAAAAAAAAAAAUUGUUGUUUAAAAAAAAUUAUUGUUUAAAAAAAAACAAUAAUAGGUGAAAUCCACCUUACAAGUUCAAAAAAAAAUCUCUACAUUUUUCUCAAACAUACAUUUUGUUUUCCUUAUUUUCCCCUCUUUUGUUAGCCAUGUCCCUAACCUACGUUACGUCCUAAUAAAAGUCCUUCUUGAUUUUAGGGAACUAUAGUCUGAAGUAAAAGCUAGUUAUAUGGGCUAAAAAGAUGUAGUGGUGCAUAAAAAAAUUAAAUAAAUAAAUUGGGUUGACUAGCAUUUUUAUUUGACUUGAGAUCAUAUUAUUUCUAAGCUGAGGGCAUAUUUUUUCAUCUUGGUGAGAGUGUGUGAUAUCACUUCUUUAUUAUUUUCUCUCAAUUACCAUUCAUUGGAGUGACUAUUUUUAUUGGAUUUAAUUUCUUUGUGAGAGUGUCACUAUUUCCAGUGAGAUUUUGGGGUUUAACAUGUCAUUCUUGAAAGUAGCUGUGACAAAGUCUACUGGGUUGAUUCAUGUGGAUGGUUGAUGUGGGUGUGAUGUUUCUUUAGAAUGGAGAUAAUGCUUAUACUUUUAUUUGAUUGCUAUCAUUAGUCUGAUUGAAUAAACAUGAGUGUUUAAAAAAUAUAUAUAUCUUUUGGAUUUGAAUUUUGUUUUCGUUUUAUUUGCUAGGGACUAGCAAUAAGCUGGUUGGGGGGUGUGUUGAGUGUUAGAAAAUGUAUAUUUAUAAAGGAGAAAAUUGUCAUUUUACACUUCAUGUUUCACUAACAUUCCUUCUUUUAUGUAUUUAAGUUUUUUGUCAUUUAAUUAUGUGUGUUGUAUUAUAAUUAAGUAUUUUAUGUAUUUCAGGGGGAUCAUGGUCAUUUCACAAUAAACGAGAGAUCAAAUGGCAAAACGAACAUCACUUUUGAACUCAGGACGGUCGAAAACCUUAGGAGGAGCAUAAAAAGAAAAAUGACAUUAUUCACAUGUACGGUACUAUUCACAUGUACGGUACUGUCUACGUUACUGUUCACAACAUUGUUCACAUAGACGGAUCGAUGACGUGGAAUUGACCGAUGAUGUGGCAUUGACUGAUGAGGUGUCACGAUCCUGUUGGACUAAAAUUCUUAUGUACUGUUGAUGGUGACGUGGCAGCAUAUCAGUGGACCAAAAAUCUCGCGUACGGUACAUGCAUUACACAGGAUUAUUUUCAACCAAACAUCGUUACUGUUCAAGCCGGGUCAAACCGUGUUACUGUUCAAACUGCGUGGUCAAACCGCGUACUGUUGACUGGUGACGUGGCGCAAUCCUGAGCGUCCAAACUGUUUUUAAUCUGAUGGCCAUGAUUUACUCAAUGUAUCUAUAAAAAUGGGGCCUCUCCCCCCCCCCUAAUUUGAUAGCUCUAAAUCCAUUUUUGGACUCCAUUUUCUGUAAUUCCUUCUACAUCUUAUAUUUUCUACGUAUUUUAAUAAAUUCUUAUUUUACCCCUAGUUCAAUUAUGAGUAGCUAAUUUUCUUUCAAGCUUGAGUUGAAGGUGAAGUCUCAACAUGUGUCAUGGGCUUUAUUUGGUAAAUUUAUUUUCUCUUCCCCUCUAAUUUUUGUGGAUGAUUUGACUUUUCGUCGACAAAUAAUAAUAAUCUUAUCUAGAUACCGUCUUGGUUUUACUGGCUCUCUAGUACAAGGUUAUUAUUAUUUGGCACGAUAAGCCCUUAGCAACAUAUUGAUUAGAGUGUGGUUCAUGAGGUGUGGAUUCCCCCAUCAUGAUUUAAUUGGCAUUAAUAAAGAAUAUUUAGCCCAUGGUGCAUGUUGAUGCGGAUCCAGACACCCAAGCGCUUCAAUUAUAAUAGUUUCCACUUUAAUUUAAUUCCGUCAUUCCAAUUUAAAUUCUAAGAUAGUCUAAAUCACUUUCACCACAAAUCCAACCACCCAUUUAGAAUAAUUAAUUCUACACAUAAUUAAAAUCUAUCUCCUCGUGGGAUCGACACUCGUCACUAUUGAUCUAUUCUACAAUAGAUUCGUGCACUUGCGAGUUCAAUAAAAUUUGCACAACACAUAGUCGUCAGCAAUUUGAGCAAUGACAGCAGCAGCAGGAGAAAUAGAAGAGGAGCGACACAUGGGCUCCUAGUGACGCAUCUGUAUAACCCCCCCCCCCCACUUUUACUAGACUCAUUAUGGUUAGCUUCAAAAGAAUCCAUGGAAAACAUAAGAAAGAAGGAACAAAAGAGAAAGAAACAUACUUGAGUCAAGCGAGAAAGGGAAAACCUUAAUGCCACAAGGAAAAGAUAAGAAAAGAUUGGGAACAACAUGUAUUUUAAAUAUGGGUCUAAUUUUAAAUUCUGAAUCUGGAUGAGGGUGCAUUUAAUCCUUACUUUAUAACAAGAGAUUUUUUAAUUUCAAAAACUCUUCUCAUGAACUGGGAGUCUAGUGGAAGUUAGUCAUCUGCAUUACCUCGAGGGAGUUAGGAUCUCCAAGUAAGAGAUAAUGAUCCUUCAAAGUCAGCAAUGAAAAAUGCCAAAUGGGAAUUAUAGAUCCCUUAAGGAAGGAAACGAGGAGCUCUGGAUAUAUGCUAUGAAUUAAUCAAAGCACUAAACUAGCAUGGCAAAAAUGCAGGGAUAAGACUUAUUAAUUGAAGAGGAUCAUAGAAGCAUAAUAAAAAUGCAGGUAGAGAUUGACUACAAGACCACAAAACACCCAAAUAAGGACACAACCCCCACUACUAAAAACAUGCUUUAAAAAAAUGAUAAUUUUAAGGGAAUGUGAUGCAAAAAAGGUAUGAGAACUCAAACUCACUAAAACACUCGGAAUUAAACUCAAAGAAACCUUGCUGACUUAAGCAUCAGAGUGGGCUGACCAAAAACUACCCUUUCCGACCCAAUUUCACCAUUUUCUUUAUUUGUGCUGUGUAUGCAGGUUUACCUCCAUCAGUUGAACUUGGUUCGGCUCAGGUGGGAAAAAAAUUAAGUAUCAACAACUACCAUUAUAUAAUAUACAUGUUCACAAAUAUAUAGUACUAUUAACCUUUUCUUUAAAACUUAAAGCCCAACCCUUUACUUAACAUUCACAUACAUUUGAUAGAAUUACAUCAUUCUUUCAUAUUAUGUAGCCAACAGUCACAUAUAAUGGCAUCAACUAGUCAGAAAAUCAAAAUCAAUCCAUAAGGAUUAAAGAAAGAGACAAAAUACAUAUGAUUAGUGUUAAAAAUUGUAUGUUUAUUAAGGAGUUAAAAUGUUAUUUUGUGCUUAUAAUAUAAUUUACAUUUGUAAUGAUGUAAUAUAUUAUGAAUUUUCAAUUGUUUUUUAAAUAGUUGAUUUUGUGUAUUUUGUGCGUUUAUUAGGUAAAAAUAAUAAUUUCACACAAUUUGAGGCUCCAAACAAAUGUACGGAUGUUAAAUUUAGAUUCCAGAAGUCCAAGAAAUUAGGUCAUUGUCGAGGAGGAUCUACUACUUUUGUAGUAAAUUUAUAAGUUUUUACCACGGUAAAUGUGGUAAUUGUGAAAUUAUAAGUUUUUACUACAUUUGAUAUUGUAAUUGUUAGUGGAAUGUGUUGGAUGUGUUUGAGUGGAUUAAGUUAUGUUUAUGUUUUUUUAGUGGUAUAAAUGUAAGGCUAAGAUGUAAUUUGUUUUAUUUAUUUAUGUGAUGUAGAUUAAUCUUAUAUUUGUAUAAAUAGAAAGGAGAGGAACACACCUCUCCACACCUUUCCUUCUCUUCUUUUCCUUCAAAUUCUUCUUCUCAUCUCCCUAUGUAAUAUAUUUUCAAUAAAUAAAAUUAUUUUAUUUCUAAUUUUCAAAAAAUAUAUUUUUAAUUAUGUAUUUUUCAAUUUUAAUAAUUAUUUUUAUUUCAAUUAUACUUAGCUAAAUAAUAAUAGUUAGGAUAAGGUGAAACUCUUAAGAAAUAAAUAUAAUUUAAUCAAAUUCUAUUUUUAACUAUAUAAAUUAAAUUAUUUUCUAUUUAAUUUUAUACAUAUUUUUUAUUUUGAAAAUUUGAUUUAUUGUAGACAAACAAGGGAGUUUGGCACAAUAAAUUUUUAAUAUCUUAAUAUAAUGUAUGGUAAAAUGAUAUUUUGACUUGUUGUAGACAAGUUAAGUUUUGGCACAUUAAGUACUUAAUCCACAAUAAAAUUAAUACAAAAAUAAUAAUAAUUUAUAUAAUUAAUCUUUUGGGCAAUAAAUCUAAAUAAAAAAUGGUAAAAAGAAUUUAUUAAAUUUUAUUUAUUACUAAGAGUGGAUCCAUAACCCAAACUAAUUUAAUUUUAUAGUUUUGCUCAAAUUAAAUUGCAUAUAUUUAAUUUUUAUUUUUAUUUUUUAUAUAAACUAAAAUAAUAAAAAUUAAUCUUUUCUCUGUUGAUCGACCUCGGACUCACCGAAUUAUAGUAUAGCUAGGCACUCUUAUACUUGAGAAUAAAAUUAAGCACUUUUAAGUCGUGUUAAGCUUUUGGCGCCGUUGCCGUGUAUUUAUUUUGUUUUGUUUUUUUUGUUUUUUUUUUACUUUUUGUUUAAAUUUUCAAUUACCCCUUUUUAUUUCUUAAAUUCUAUUAUAUCCAUAAAAUCUUUCUGAAUCUCACUUUCACCCCCAAAAACUUCUCUACGGUUUGACCACAAAUUAUAGAAAAUUUUUUAAUAGGUCCCUUGUCAAAAUUUCCCAUAAUUCUCAAAUUCGGACCUCCAACAUGAACUUCUUUGGACUUCUUUGGACCCUAUUUAGACUCAAUAAAAAGUCUAUUGACUUUAAAAGUUAAUACAAAGGCAUUAAUUUGAAUUAAUCACUUAAUCGGUUGGUAAUUUUUAAAAUUUGAAAAAAAAAAAGAAUUUUCACUUUGAGAUAAUUAUUAUUUUUUCUGUAAUUUAAUUUUUGAAUUUAUUUUAUUUUUCUUUUUGACAUUUACUUUGUUUAUAUGUUUGGUUUAUCGCUUAUUUAGUUAUUUUAAUUUUAAUUAAUUAAUUUUCAGUUUAUUUAUUUUUAUUUUGUAUUUUUUUCCUUGCACAUUUAUCUUGUUUAUUUAAUUUUUAUUUUUUUUAAAUUAUGUAAUUUUUAUUUUUUAUUUUUUAUGUUAUUCAUUUGUUUGUUUAUCAUUUUUACAACAUAAUUUCACACACACAUCAUCAUCAUUAUUGCAUGAGACGUUGGUCUCGAACUUCAAGUGGCAGGUUAAUUCACAAAUCUCAAUCACCACCACCAACAUGGGCGAGAUCCAGGAUGAAAAUAAUUUGGGCCAACAUAAUCAUCUCAACAUUAUCACAAUCAACCAAGAACUUUAAGAGAUUACAUGAAUCCAACAAGAACUGGAGCACCGUCGUGUAUGGUAUUUCCUCCAAAAGCGUCUCGAUUCAACUUCAAAACAACAUUUACCAACAUUUCAUAGUUUAAGAUCUGAGAAUCCAUACUUGUCUCUAAGAGAUUUUGAGGAAGUUUGUAAUACAUACACAGACCAAAAUUAUAGUAUGAACAUAAUUAGAUUAAAGCUUUUUCCUUUUUCAUUAAAAGAUAAAGCUAAAACUUGGCUACAAAACCUUAGAUCUUGAUCAAUAAGAACUUGUAAUAACAUGCAAGAAUAGUUUUUGAAAAACAUUAUUUCCACCUCAUAGAACCAAUUCUUUUAAAAGGAAAAUUACUUCUUUCACUCAAAAAAAUGGAGAAACAUUAUACCAAUGUUGGGAUAGAUUUAAAGAAUUGCUUAACAUAUGUCCACACCAUGGUUUUGAAACUUGGAGAUUGGUCUCUUAUUUCUACGAGUGCUUAACACCCCAAAGUAGACAAGUUGUAGAAAUGAUGUGUAAUGGUGAAUUUAGAGAUAAAAAUCCUGAAGAUGCACUAAAUUACCUUGACCAAUUAGCUGAAAAUGCACAACAUUGGGAUACUAUUAGAACUUUUGAAUUGCCAAAUAAACCACAAACACCUCCAUCUAGUGGAGGGAUCUAUAAUCUUAGGGAAUAUCAUGAUUUACAAGCAAAACUUACAUCCCUAGUUAGGAAUGUUGAAGCUUUGGAGAAUAAAAAAAGUGAUCAAGUAAAAUUUAUUCAAGAAAUUGCAUGUGAUGUUUGUAGUUCUAAUGAUCAUUUCACUGAAGAUUGUCCCAUUUUAACUGCACUUAACGAAUGUUUGCAUGAUCAAGCUAAUGCCAUUAACACUUUUAACAAACUCAUUUUCACAAACUUAUAAUUCUGGUUGGAGAAAUCAUCUAAAUUUUAGUUGGAGGAACAAUAAUAAUGCACAAUCUUCACAAGCACCACCUCCACAAAAUUUUCAAAAUGUUCAGCCUUAUACACCUUAUAUUCCACCACAAUGGAAAAAUUUAGAAGAUACAUUGCAUUCAUUUAUUAGGAAGUAAGAAGCUAUUAACAAUCAAAAUGCACAAACCUUUUCUGAUUUGAAAGACACUCUUGCUAAAAUUGCUUUUGCGCUCACAAUUCAAGAAAAAAGAAAAUUUCCAGCUCAAUCACAACCAAAUCCUAAGAUUCAACAAAUUUCACCCAUGGAUCAAGUCAAGUCAGUUAUAACUCUUCGUAGUGGUAAGGUUACUGAUAUACCUAUUCCUAAACCUUGUGAAGAUAAAGAUAAUGAAAAUUCAAUGGGUAAGGAAAGACUAAGAAACUUACACCUAAUGAAGAAAUAACUAUUGUUCCAUCUGAACUACUAUUUCUGCAUGCAUUGAAUAAACCAAGGAAAUCAAACCACUCUUCUGAAAUUUAUGAAAUCUUUAAGAAAGUGAAAGUUAACGUUCCUUUGUUAGAUGUCAUCAAGCAAGUACAUUCAUAUGCAAAAAUUUUAAAGGACUUAUGCACUGUUAGGAGGAAAUUGAAGGGAAGAAAGAGUGCUUUCAUGGCUGAACAGGUAAGUACCAUUCUGUUUACUAAUAAUAACUUGAAAUAUAAAGAUCCUAGUCUAUUUCUUGUAUUAUUGGAGAUCACAAAACUGAGCAUACUUUGUUAGACCUUGGUGCUAGUGUUAAUUUGCUUUCAUAUUCAGUUUAUCUUUAAUUUAAUCUUAGUGAGUUAAAAUCAACUUUAACUACAUUUUUGCUUGCCGAUAAAUCAAUUAAAGUACCAAAAGGAAUAAUGGAAGAUGUUUUAGUCCAAGUUGAUAAAUUCAUAUAUUCUGUGGAUUUUAUUGUCUUAGAAACUGAACAUGUUGUGAAUAAUUAUAAACCAAUUCUUGUAAUUUUGGGUCGACCAUUUUUAGCAACUGCUAAUGGUUUGAUUAAUUCUAAGAAUGGUUUAAUGAAUUUUUCAUUUAGAAAUAUGACUCUAGAAUUAAAGUUUUUAAUAUGUGUAGGCAACUUAAUGAAGAAAAUGAGAAUGAACAUGAGAUUGAUGAACAAAAGGAAUUGUUUGAAUCUUGCAUAGAGGAAAAUAUUCAAAAAGGAAAUUUUUCUAAACUUAAUUAUAUUUAUUUGGUUAAUUUAAUUGAAUCAAAUAAGCAACUUGAAGUGAUACUUCUAAUAUAAAUUUGUUGUUUGACUCUUGUUAGACUUUACAAAAUGAUGAUGGCAAGAAACCAAAAUUUGACGAGCUGUGAAUCAUUGAAAAGAUUGAACAACAAGAAGCACCUAAAUUGGAAUUGAAACUUUGUCGGAGGGAUUGAAGUAUGCUUAUCUUAGAGAAGAACAAACCUACCCUGUUGCGAUUUCUUCUACCCUAUCAAGCAACUAAGAAGGUAAGUUACUAUCUGUUUUUAAAAAGCAUAAAAACGCAAUUGGAUGGACUUUAAAUGAUAUUAAAGGUAUUAAUCCUUUAAUCUACAUACAUAGAAUCAAUUUGAAAGAAAAAGCUAAAACAUGUCAACAAUCUCAAAGAAAAUUGAACCCAUACAUGAAAGAAGUAGUAAAAACAUAAGUUCUUAAAUUGCUUGAUGUGGGAUAUUUGAUGAGUACACAGGAUGCCAAACCAAGACUAAUUCAUUGGAUUUUGUUACUUCAAGAAUUUGACCUCAUUAUCAAAGAUAAAAAGGGUACCGAAAAUGUCGUUGUUAAUCAUUUAUCAAGACUCACAUCUGAAUUCUGCACUGACAUAACACUUAUCAAUGACUCCUUCCCGGAUGAAUUUUUAUUUUAUGUUCCUUCAAUGCCAUGGUAUGAUAACUUUAUUAAUUUCCUUGUUACAGGUAAAAUACCUUUGCAAUGGAAUACUCAAGAAAAGAAGAAACUUUUGGUUGAAGUAAAGAUAUUUUAUUAGGAUGAUUCUUACUGGUUCAAAUAUUGCCCUGAUUAGAUUUUUCAACGAUGCAUUCCCGAUAAUAAGGUAAGUAGUGUCAUUAAUUUUUGUCAUUCUGAAGCAUAUGGUAGACAUUUUUCUUCAAGAAAAAUUACAGCUAAAAUUUUGUAAUGUGGAUUUUAUUGGCCUACCAUAUUCAAAGACACAUAUGAAUUUUGCAAAACUUGUGAAAACUGUCAAAAAUUGGGGUCAAUUACUAAAAGAAACAUGAUGUCCUUAAAUCCCAUAUUAGAGAUUGAAAUAUUUGACUAUGGGGGAAUUGAUUUCAUGGAUCUGUUUCCACCAUCUUUUGGAUUUGUGUACAUAUUAGUUGUAGUUGAUUAUGUCUCAAAAUGGAUUGAAGCAAUUUCUUAUCGAAAUAAUGAUUGCAAAGCUGUGGUUAAAUUUUUAAGAGAAAACAUUUUAAGUCGAUAUGGAAUUCCUCGAGCCAUUAUCAAUUAUGGAGGUAAGCAUUUUUGUAAUAAGUCAUUUGAGUCUUUAAUGAAAAAAUAUAGAAUUACACAUAAAAUUACUACCCUUUGUUUGUCAUCCUCAAACAAAUGGUCAAGUUGAAUUAGUAAAUAGAGAGAUAAAACAAAUUUUAAAAAAGAACGUUAACCCAAACCGCAAAGAUUGGUCUCUUUGACUGACUGAUGCACUAUGGGCCUACCGUACUUCAUUUAAGACUUCUUUAGGAAUAUCACCCUAUAGGCUAAUUUAUGGUAAACUUUGUCACUUACCUGUUCAACUUGAGCAUAAAUCAUUUUGGGCUAUUAAAGCUUUUAAUUCAAAUUUGGAUGAUGUUGGUAAUGUGCAAAAAAAUUGCAAUUGAAUGAACUUAAGGAAUUAAGGAAUGAUGUAUAUGAAAAUUCAAGAAUUAUUAAGGUAAGAACAAAAGUUUUUCAUGAUAAAAGAAUUUUUCGAAAAACAUUUGAGAUUGGUCAAAAAGUAUUGCUUUAUAAUUAUCGUUUUCAUUUGUUUCCAAGAAAGUUAAAGUCAAAGUGGAGUAGCACAUUUGUUGUAAAAAAUGUAUAUUCGUAUGGGGCCAUAAAAAUUGAGAAUUCAAAUAAUAGUGUCACAUUUAAAGUUAAUGGAUAGAGAUUAAAACCAUAUCUAGAAUACCAAUCACGUGAACAAAGCACUAAAAUAAAUUUGAGUGACCCACCAGAUCUUGAUUAAAUUUCUAAUGAGUGAUUUAACUUUUCACUGUUGCUUUACUCUUUUUUUUUUUGGUUUGACUGUCUUGAAUGAUAUGCGUUAUGAUGUUUCCUGCUUAAGUGUGUUUGACAAUUGUGUUUUUUUCAUCAUUAUACAUCAUAAGCACCUCAAUAAGGAAGAUUCUAUUCAGACAUCUUAAAAACCUUUUGCGAGUUAAAUUUCACUUGAGAUGUCUGAUACAAAGCUAUAAAUCACAUCCAAUUUGGGAACUACAACCACCACCAUUAGUGUCCUACAUUCAGGAUCUAGAAAGACAACUUAGAGAAAUAGAGCGUGGUAUAUAUGAAUUUUAGUUAGAGCUUGAGGUUAACGUAAUAAGAGUAUGUAUGUGAGUUCAUUUUCCUUUUUACAUUGUGUGUUUCUUUUUGUUGUUCACUUGCAUGUUUGAUUUGAUUUUGCAAAUUUGAUUUUCUUCAUUUUGGUGUGUUUUGAUUUAUUUUCCCGUAUAAAUGGCGGAUAAUGGUACUCUGUGACUUCUUAAGUCAGUAUCCUCAGUUUCCCACAGUAAUUAAGAUCCCAAAAUCAAGCAUGGAAGAAAUACAACAUAAAUUGUAUAAACAUUUUCCUUCUCUCCCUCAAAAUGCACUCAAAAAAAAUUUACAAAGCUCGUUGUGAAAGAUUGCGUUUAUUAAUGAUCAAUGGAAUUUCUCCUGAUAUUCAUUGGUUAAUUGAAGCAAAUGUCCGAUUAGCUGGUGAGUUUCCUGAUCUAUUUAUUUCUUACAUGGCUGGUUUUGGUAAAAGCAUGUUUGCUAAAAAAAAAGAGCUAAAAGACUUCGCUUAGAAUGUCAUAACUGUGUAAGACUUAGUUGCAAAUGAGAAAUUUAUAAAUCUUUAAGAAUGGUUUCUGAUAAUCUAUAAGAUAAAAUUAAUUUCAUUAAAGAUGGCUUGAGUAAAGAAUCGUUGGAUGAUAUCUUACGAUCUCUUGAGACACAUCGAAGCGGACAUAUGUAGUGUGAGAUACAUAGGUUAUGGAGAUUAUUCCAAAAAGAAAGUGCACAGUUUAGUCUUGGGAAUGUGACUCAAAAAGACUAUGUUUGCUAGUUCAUAAGAAAACUGGAUGAAAAGUCUAUCCUUGACCCAUAGAGGGCGUUCAAGCCGUUACUGAAAGUAAAACCAGAUGAAGAUGUGAGCCACAAUCACAACUACCAGUAAAUAUCCUUUUAUUUUACUGUUCUUUUAUCAUUUGCAUUAUUGUGUUUAAUGGUGUGAUUUUGUAUUUAAUCAUUAUUUGUUUUCUUUUACUUUUUUUUUUCUUUUCACUAUUUACUUUUCUUUUACUGUUUUCUUUUGAAUUAUUGAGACAUAAGCUUUACGCGUCAUUGACAAAUACACCAACCCAUUUACAAUUGUUUCUCAUUUUGUCUCUCACUAAGAUCUUUAAAUAUGAGCUCUUUUUCCAAUCACUCACAACUUGUUUUUUAAUAUUAUUUCAAUGGCAGCAUUUUCGAGCAAACAAUUCAAAAAUAUUUGUGUGCUCUCUGGAUUUCAUUAUGGAAAAUACAAGGAAUUCAUUCAGCCAGCUGUAGAUCUUGGUCAUGUUAUAGAUGAGAAGAAACUACACCUUAUAGAUGGAGGAGUUGACUGCGGGUUAUAAAAACUUGUCUCAAAAUCUAUUUUUAUUAUAGGAAACCAGGUACUAGGUAUCAUUCCACAAACCGUGGAAUGCCUGUCUGACAUACCAAUUGGAGAAGAGUUAGUUGUCUCAAGUAUGCAAGAGCGAAUAUUUGAGAUGUUAAAUCAUACUUAUGCUUUCAUUUUCUUGCCAGAAGAUCCUGCAAUUUUAGAGGUACUGAUUACAUUUGCAUCUUGGGCCCAUUUGAACUCCUAUCAAAAAUCCAUCGGUUUGCUAAAUGUUAGUAAUUUUUAUGAUGGCUUGCUCACAUUCAUUAACCAUGCAAUUAAGAAUCAUUUUAUUUCAAUCUCUGCAAAAAAACUCUUUAUUUGUGCUUCUACUGCUAAUGAGUUACUUGAUCUUUAACAAACUUAUAAACCAAAGCCAGAUCCUAGCCCUAGUAAGAAGUACAAGUUGGACUUAACUCUUCGGCUGUAAUUAUCUUCUUGGAGCGAUCAAAUAAUGUCUUCUAAACUCUUUUCUUUUAAGCCAUUAAGGACAAUGUUUUAUUCAGGUUGGGGGGAAUAGUUGACAGUUGUGGAAUAUGUCAAAUCUUAGUAAUGUUUAUGUCGAAGAUAGGCUAUGGGGUGUAACGGCUCUAAAAACGCAUCUUCAGCGGCCUGUUCAGGUGUGAUCUUUCCUAUUUAUGUUUUCUUUAUCUUUUUCAUCUUUUUGCAUGCAUAUUUUUAAAUUAUGAAUAAUGUUUAGAUUAGCUUAGGGGAAGGGAUAGUUGACGUAAAUUCUAAAUAGGUGUGUUUAUUUUAAAAAAAAACCAAAAAAACCAAAGACAACAAAAUUUUUUGUGUCUUGGAUGGUUGUGCAAAGAGUCAUGACUUUUGAGAUACGUCCUAAUAGUCCUGUUAUAUUAUAUUUUGAUUUCAACUUACAUACCAUGUGUUCUUGGCCUUCUUGUAUGAAUCCAUAUGAUUGCUGCAUGUAGAUGUCUUCUUCAAGAUGCCUUUUAAGAAAGGCAGUCUUGAUAUCUAUUUGUCAAAUUUCAUAAUCUAGCACUGCAGCAAUGGAGAGCAGAAUCCUAAUGGAUUUAAGCAUAGCAACCGAAGAAAAGGUUUCCUCACAAUCGAUUCCCUCUUUCUGAGCAAACCCUUUGGCUACUAAUCUUGCUUUAAAUGUUUCCACCCUUCCAUCCACUGCUCUUUUCUCUUGUAGAUCCACUUGCACCUUAUAGGUUUUACCCAUUUGGUGCCUCUACAAGUUCCCAAACUUUAUUGGAAUACAUAGAUUUAAUUUCUUGAUUUAAGGCUUUUUUUCAAAAUUCAACAUCUCUGUCUAUUAGAGCUUCAUUGUAGCUAAUGGGAUCUUGUAUAUGUUCAUCUGAGAUAGCCGUAUAGGUUUCUGACAAUAACAUGUAUCUUGUAUAUGAUUGAUCAGCUGGUUGUUGUUGUUCUUCCUGUUCUAUAACAGGUGUUGAAGGCUGAGCAUCAACCUGAUCUCUUUUUUAUUUCUCUAGUUUUACCUUACUCUUAGGUUAUAAGUCAUUUAUAUAGUUUUCCUCAAAGAAAGUAAAGAAUAUGUCUACAAAUACAUUCCUAUCUUGAGGAGUAUAAUUCAGACUUUCGCUUAUUCCUUCAAGAUACCUAAAACAUGCAAGCUUCUGAACACGAAUCCAUCUUCUCUACCUUUGAUUCUAGUACAAAUACUAGUAAACUCCAAAUACGAAUGUGUUUCAAACUAUGUUUGUGACUUUUUCAUAAUUUCUUGGAGUAGUAGACACCGAGGUAGAUGAAAUUAAGUUCAAUAAACUUUGCAGUUUUAAAUACUAGUAUCUGGAAUAAAAAAGGUAAAUGAUAAAUCACUUUGCAUAUAUCUUACCUUAUCCAAAAGAAUCUUAUUUCUCCAUUUAAUUACACUAUUGUAUCAUAGUGUUCAUUAUAUGUGGGAGUUUAUCCCAUUUAACAACCAAACAGAGCUUGAAUUCUCCAGAGAGAUAUUCUUUGUUUCGAUCAUAUCGAAGUUCUUUAAUGUUCCUGUCUAAUUGCUUCUGUCUUAUCCAUGUACCCUUUUGAAUUUCAAAAGCAAUGGAAUCAUGACACAUUUAGACAUACAUAAAUGAAAUGAAUAUUCAUCAACAAGAUUGAUAGAAUACUCAUAACCUCUUAUAACAUGUAAACUGAUUAGUUCGUAUACAUUUGUAUGCGCUAAAUCAUCCAAUACAAUGUUAUGUUUUUUAACUCAAAAAGAGCAUCCUCAUCAUAUUACUUUUCUAAAUAAGAUUUAUAGAGUUACAAUGAUCAAUCAUGAUAGGCCAACAAGCCUAUCAUUAAUCAUUUUCUUAAAAUCUUAUUAUAGCUUAUAUGACUUUAGCAUAAAUAUCAAAGGUGAUAUUGGUUAGAAGAAACAUUUCUUUUUCUUGGAUAAAUGCAUAUACUAUUUAUCAUUAUAUCUUGCUUUGAAUUGAUCAAUUAACUUAUAUGAUAUAAAUUAUCUUUAUAAAUAACCAAAAUCAGUAAUAAACAGAGGAUCCAAAAAUAACAUUGUACUCUUGUUUAUUAAAACAAGCUACCAAAAUUAAAUUCCUCUAAUAUUUGGAAUAAUAAAGACAAAUAUCAAAACUAAAGUCUCGUAAAAUUGAUCUAGCCUUUCAACUGAUAUAAACUAGCAUGUCCUCAACUGUUGUUUGAAGCUUUCUUCACUUAUUCUCUUGGUUUCCUAAAAACCAAAUAAAUGAAUUACAAAUAAGAUAAGUAAUCUCAGAAUUCACUAUUGCAUAAAUCAAUAGAAAUCUUAACUAAUUAGGAAGCUUAAAGAUUUCCUAUACCUGAUUUUAAUAAUCUUAGGACAAUCUUUCUUCCAGUGACCCUUCUGUCCACACUUGUAACACUUGCCUUUUGGCUUGCCACCUCUUUUAGUGGACAGUUUGCUCAUCCCAACUCUUUCUUGCUUAUUCCUGUCUUUCGACUUAAACCUUCAAAAGAAUCCUUUUCAGGAAGUUUUCUGCUAUGAUAAAAUUCUUUUAUAGUAUGUAGUUCGUGCAUUAAUUCAAUUAAGGUCAUAUCUUUAUUGUUUAAGAUAUAGCUGACCUUAAACUCUUUAAAUGUAUCAGGCAAAUAUUCAAUCACCAUGUUAAUCUUUGUUUUAUCAUCGAUUUGAACACCAUGAAUCUCUACUUUAUUCAAAUAGUCCAUCAUUUUGAGGACAUGAUCACGAACUCUUGUGGCCUCUUCCAUCUUAGUAUCUGUAAUACGUUUCAACGCUACUUCUCUGGAAAAAUGUGUAUUAUGCCCAAACAUCUGAUGAAAACUAGCCAUUAUUUUAGUGGUUGUUUCCAUGCUCCGAUGUUUCUUAUGCAGUUCCACAGAAAUCGAAGCCAAUAUAUAGCAUUUAGCCAUUUUGUUAGCUUCGUACCAUUUCUCAUAAGGCUCCCUCUGAUUUCUAUAAUCGUAUAACGUUGGUUCUGGAGGGUAAGGCUGGGUCAACACAUAUUUACAGCCCUUAGCAAUGAGAAUAUUAAUGAAAUAGGCAUUUCAUUGUUUAAAGUUGUAACUAUUCUACUUCUAUUGUAAGACAUUUUAUCUUUAUCACUGAAAUGAAGACUUUGAAUAGAAUAAUUAAUAUGUGAGUGUGUGUGUGGUAUAUGCAUAUUGAACUAGUCUAUAACUAAUUAUGUUCUAAUUUAACAAUGUCGAUGAUCAUAAUUCACAUAAGCUAUAAUAAGCUUAAUCAACCUUAAUCCUAAGUGGGUAAUGAACUUGCAUUUAUAUUUUGUCUUUUGAGUUAUCACAGAGUGAGAUCCAUAUAAACGGUCCAAACCUCGAUAUCUUGGAGAUGUAGUUUCAUGAAUGUGAGAACAUAUACUUAUAAAAUGAAAUCUAUACUAAUGAUGCUUACCUAAGUUGUUUAUGGUACUAAAUCAUUUAAAUAUGUGGCCACAGUUUAUUCAAUUAAUUUAUUAUUGAAUAAUAAUAUUUGUUUGUAAAUUUAUUUACAAAUAUAGAUAUGAUGAAAUUGAUCAUUUGAACAAAUAGUAUUCUACAAGUAAAUAUGUAAUUACAGAGACACGAAUUCAUCAUGGGCCUAACCUUAAUUAUGAGUAUCAAAUAGAGGGUUAAUUAAGUGGUUAUUAUUGGUUCAAGACCAAUGCUAAAAUUAAUUAAAAAGAGUUUUAAUUAAUUAAGCUUUUAUUUAAUUACAUAGGUUACCAGAGUGUAACCUUGGGGUUUUAGUGGAAUAGCCUGGAGCUAACUUAAUAGUUUUGAUGUGCCAUGAGAUGAGUGAGUCUUAAUUAUUAAGUUGGAGUUAGAAAACCCAUAGAUCUGUAGCUCUAUUAGCUCAAUUCUUAGUCAAACUCUUACUCUACUAAGUGCCUAUAUAAAGGAGAGAAAAUUAGAAUGGAACUUUAACUUUAUAUAUAAUUUUUCUUAGAAAAGAAAAAUUGCUCAAUCCUACACAAAAUUAGAGUUCCUUGUACCUAAUAGAGAAGAUUAGAGAAGAUUGCAACUUUCUUCUACCAUUCUUCGUUAGAAAUCCAAAGUAUUUAUGUAACCCUAUGCUUGUAUACAUGAUCAAGAGAAGAAAAGGUUCCUAACUUUUGAAUGAUUUUAUAAAAAAUAGAACAUUCAUUAUUUUUCCAUUUUUUUGCCCAAAAAAACAUGUAAUUAGUCAUCUUAAAAAUAAUUAAACUCAACUCUAUUAAUGAGCAUGAUAGCAAAGACUUUUUAUCUGAGAGAACCUGUUUCUAAUAUUCAUUGUGACUCGCAAGGUCUAGCACCUUUCAAUCCCUUUCAAAGGAUCAAAAUUCAUGUCAUUCUUGUUUGAUGAAUGCAUUCUCACCCGAUUUUUUCUGUUAAGAAGAAAAUCUAAUAUCUUAAAUUGUUUUGCAUUUUCGUUGAAGAAUCAGUAUGAUAGGAACAGAAAAGUUUUCCAAGCAGAUGGUUGAGGAGAGUUCGAAGACGUGGACUUCUAUCACUACUUUGCAAGAGCAUGAAGAGUUUCAAAAAUCUUUCCCAGGGGCACUUCUGCAGAACAAGAUUGUUGAGAGAGAGAGAGAGCAAAAAACAAUAAAAGAUUAAAUAAAAACUGAAAUGGGCUUGACUAUGCUCUUUCAUAUUCGUGUACCGAAGUGUUUUCUGGGUAGAAGUUUUUCUACAGCAACUAGGCCGAUUAAUAGACUUCCUUCACAGAUUCUAGGCACGUACGAGUCCCAUAUAAAAAUUCACUGGGAAGAAGCCUGACCAUACUCGAUCAAGAUGCUUUCCUUAUUUAAGAAAACCCAAAAUAUCGCUGACCCCAACCCCCAAAAAAAAAAAAUGGUUGGAACUUUGGCCCGACAUUCUAAGAAGACAUAUCAUUGGAUAAGUUUCACAUUCUCCAUUGGACCAAAACAGUGAAGUACUUAUACACCAAUUCACCCAUUAACUUACAACUAGUAAGUUUCAAAUUCUGAGAUACGAUAUUUGUGUAUACAAUGGGACACUAUAUCCGUUCAAAUUCUAUAUGUUAUAUUUCUAGUAAAUCAGAGGAAAAAUAUGAAUAUGAAGUGAAAAAUAUGCAAAUUAUUAUCAAGGAAAACGGUAACUACUAUGGCUCCAAAUCAAAAACACGAGCAUUCCUUUUCGGUUGCUCAAUAACUCGGAUAAGUGGCAUGAACAACACAACUAGGAUGAGAAGCCCCACCACAAGCGGGACCAUAAUCAGCCAUAAUCUUCUCUUCCCACUGUCCGGCAGGAAAAGCUUAUUUUCAAAGAGCGGUAUUUGUGUGCCUGCACAAAAAGUGGUUCACAUCAUAUGGUCCCAAAAUACAGUAUAAUUAGCUCUAUACUCCAAAUUGAGGACCUAACAUGCUUGCCUUUUUUUUUUCUUUUUUUUCCCACAUUUUUGUUCUUCUCUCGGUUCCAUAUUUAAGUGAUGCGAAUCCCACAAUGAAACUUUGAAUCCCACACUUAAUUUGUAGUUUCAACUUCCCAAGAAAGUUCUAAACAGAUUUAAGACAAACAAAACCUUGACCCAAUGCUUAAGAAAACAUGAACCAAAGGUAUAGAGAAUGGUAUUGACGCCACACUCAAGAAAUAGAUGAGAAGGUGAGUGAUAAGUCUAAAUUUGGAACACCACAAGAAUGCAAAUUCUUGAUAAGUUCACUAGUUCUCAAAAGAACCAAAGAAAGAAUGAUCUUUCAAAUUCAAAUAACAUUCAUCUCUAAUUUUUCUUACAUACCAAGGUUGCUGAAUUUAAAUAGGCUAAAAUAAACCCAAGAUCCUAAAAAUCAAAAUGGAAACAUUGGAACAACCCUCCAAGUAGGUUUGUCAAAAGAUGUUUCAAAAGUCUUCACCAACCCACCAUAAUCAAUGCUAUCUUUGACAAACUUAAUGCUAGCCUACUAUAAUUAAUGCUAUCAUUGACAAACUUAAUGUUAGCCCACCAUCAUUGAUGGUAGACUUACCUUACACAUUGACAAGCUUGAAACAAAACAAACAAAUAAGUUGAAAAACAAAGGAUUCGUUGAAAAUCCCAAGUCUGACCAAGCUGUAAAGAAUUGGUCAUAACUCCUUCUAGAGAACUCCAAAUCCAGCUCUGUAAAUUUUAUUGGAAAGCUAACUUAAUUAUCUUUCUAACGGUAUAUAGCUUGCACUUUAAUUCUGGCUCAAUCAAUACAGUUUUUAUUCCGAAUUUGACCUUUCUGCAUUUGAUACAACUUGUGUAUUUGGCUGCCCAAUGACUUGAAUAAUGCCCACAAUGCCUUGUCUUCUCUUCAAGCCCAAUUCAUGAUGUCUUGCAUCUUGAAUUGCAUUUUCAAUCCAUAUUUUCUCAAUUAAUCCAUUUAAAGUAGCUUGCAUAUUUUUGGCUCUUGCUCUUGUAAUUGGGCCUCCAUGAAUGUGCAAUGGAUCACUUGAAGUUUUAAUGGUCCCUUGAUGGUUCUCAUCAUUCCCCCUCUCUUCAAAAGGAUUCGUCCUCGAAUCUUCACCUACAUCGAAAGGAGAAAGAUCAGAAACAUUGAAAGUAGCACUCACAUUAUACUCACCAGGAAGAUCCAAUUUGUAGGCAUUGUCAUUGAUCCGUGCAACCACUUGAAAUGGACCAUCU